CGGAGGGGGCCUGGGGAGAGGCAGCGACGGGCGGGGGAGAGGGAGCGUCGCGGGGGNNNNNNNNNNNNNNNNNNNNNNNNNNNNNNNNNNNNNNNNNNNNNNNNNNNNNNNNNNNNNNNNNNNNNNNNNNNNNNNNNNNNNNNNNNNNNNNNNNNNUGCAGAACAAAACCAAACAUGCAGAUACAAUCAAGAUUAACCUAACAUUCUCCUCCGUAAUCUUGAUUCUUCACUCCUGAUGCAGCAUUCAGAGAAGAGCCAGCUCAUCCUCGACGCCGAGCAGUGCUUUCUCCCUGUUGUCCUUCUUCUUCUCCGGACACUCCCAGGCAAAGUGUCCAAAAUCAUUACAGUUAUAGCACUGUACCUCGCUUUUGUCUCUGCGCCCUCCACCACGGACAUGUCCGCGGACACGUCCACGGCCACGACCCCGUCCUUGCGACGAGUCAUGCCCUCUCGCCAUGAGAAGUUGCUCCUCUUCACGCGUCGUCUCCCGCCCCUUGACGAGCUCCUCAUGUGCCUUGAGUGAACCAAUGGCCUCCUCCAUGGCCAUCUUGUUGGUGUCGCCGAACAACGCAAUUGAAGAAGCAACAUGGAUGAACUUGUUGGAGACGGCUCGCAACAGCUUCUUCACGACGUACUUCUCCUUCAACGGAUCACCAAGCUCACGGAUGCGUCCCACGAGCGUCGUGAGCCUCGCCGCGAAAUCAUCCACGGACUCUGCAUCACCCAUCUUGAGGCCAUCAAACUCCGAGCGCAAGGACUGAAUCCUCGCCUCCCGGACGCGCUCGACGCCAACGUGCAUGGAGCGUAGAGCCGCCCACACAUCGACAGCGGUCUCCUUCUCCGCUAUGCGCAACCGCGUCAUGUCGUCGAUCGACUGGGAGAUGAUUGUCAUGGCCAUCUCCUCCUUGCCCUUGUCGACCUCCAUGGACGACGCCUCGCGAUCAACGGCAGCCCAUGCGCCGUUGGCUCGCAAGAGGUACUUCAUCCUCAUCGCCCAUGCAGCGUAGUUCGUCCUUGUUAGCAGCAGGAAUGGAAGCUUUCCCGCUGCCACCGUCGCCGUCACCGCCGCCGCCGUCGCGGACACUGCCGGCACCAGCGCUCCACUCGCUGAAGAGUCACGCGUCAUCUUCAACCUAGCUCCGAUACCAAAUGUUGGAGCUGAUUCUCUCAGCUCACCUCUUCUCUCUUUGUUGUUUCACACAACACACACAAGAACACAAGAAAUUUGAUGAGCUGCUGUUUCUCACAGCCAAGCUCUUUUCUUUCUCUCGUAUUCUCCGUUCAAAGCAAACAUGACAACAAGUGUUAAAUAGUCUUGCGCACGUACUAACCCAGCCUCCACAACCGGCCACUACGUCACGUACCCACGUCAAGAUAACCAUCUCUCCUAGAAUCUCUCUAGGGCCUGUACACAUGCAAAACUAACUAACUAACAUGCUGAUUCUUCUCAGGUCCAAACCGACGCGUCCAAUACUCUAGCCCAUCACGAACCUAGCCGAUUCUCACGGCCGUGCCGCAUCACGCGACACCACAACAUCACAUCUUGCAUGCCCCUUCGCGUAGCAGGAUGACAUCUCGCUUCUUCCCGUCGUGCCCUGGCUGAAUUCCUACUGGACAACUCCCUAGUCUAUCUAAGCUACAUGCAGAACAAAACCAAACAUGCAGAUACAAUCAAGAUUAACCUAACAUNNNNNNNNNNNNNNNNNNNNNNNNNNNNNNNNNNNNNNNNNNNNNNNNNNNNNNNNNNNNNNNNNNNNNNNNNNNNNNNNNNNNNNNNNNNNNNNNNNNNCUCUCUAGCGAGCCCCCGCAGCGCCUGAGCCACCGUUGCGCCCCCUCGUGUCGUAGCCACAUACCCACGCCGCACCCCCGCGUUGCCCACACACCCGUGCCCGGCCACGCCGUACCUCCCCCGUACCCCCCGCGAUGCACCCCCGCGACUGCGGUGCCGCAGCUCCCGCACGCCGGUCGCGCCUGGCCUCGCCCCACUGCCGCAGCCCACGUGCCACCAGCCCGUUUGCCCCUCUCCCCGCACCGCCCCCUCGGCUAGCCUUGGCCAUGGACUCGGCCUCGGUUGGCUUCGACCGGUCGGUCCGUGAUAAUCGGUGAGGAUAACCCUCUAGUGGUGCUAAUCCCCCUCCCCCCACCGAAUGAAAAAUGAGGCCAAGCCCCUUAAAACAAAUAAAAAUAAAAAUAAAAUAUAACAGAAAAUAAAAUAAAAUCAAUAAUAAAAUCAAUUAAUCAAUUAAGUAAUUAAUUAAUAAGUUAAUUAGUUAACUUAAUUAGGAUUAUUAAUCCUCUUAGUAAAUUAAGACACUAACAUGUGGGACCCCCUACUAAUUAACAUAAUUAGUUUAAUUUAAAAGCUGUUAAAAACCUGGGUCUAUGAUAGUGGGACCCACUGGUGAGUUUGACUAGUCAAACUAGAUCGUUAACUAAUGAUGUGAGCAUGAUGUCAUAAUUACAUUUUUGAAUUAAAAUAAAUCCGUUUAAUUUCAGAACAAUAACAAAACUUUAUAAACUAAUGUAAAAUAAUCCGUAACUCGAUGAAGAUACUUUAUACAUGAAAGUUGCUAAGAAAAACGAGAAGAAUCUGAAUACGCUAUCCGUUCGUGUGUCACAUGCCCCUAGCAUAACGAACAUGGAACUUUUCCAUCGAAUUCAUUUGUCCCGUAGUAGCUAGAGACCUAGAAAAUAUCGUGAGAUAUUUUCCUGCUCCGUCCAUGACGUGUAGUACUCCGUUAGUGCUAUGCAUCGUGAGAUAUUUUCCUAGCACUCCAUAUUGCCAUGCUAUGCAUCGUGAUGCGCGUGCUUAGUUUUAUUUAUUGUUUCUUCCCCCUCUUCUCCCCGGUAGACGCUGACGCUCAUGCUGCUAUGGGUUAGGACUACCCUCCUGACGACCAGCCUUUUGCAGUAAAGGAACAAGGCAAGCAACCCCCCUUUAUCAUUCCUAUAUCACCCAUUCAUUCUCCCUAAUGCUUGCAUUAGUUUUUGCUAUAGUGUUGUAGAUAGCUCCUAUUCUCAUGCAUAGCCUGUUUUUGAUAAACUGCUAUUAUACACUACUGUACAUCAAAUGCUCGGUAUAGGUGUAGCAGUGAUCCCCAUUGACCCCAUAGUCCGAAUUGCCCCUGCUUUAUCGUCGAGGACUCGAUCAACUGAUCGACGAGCCAAGAGCCGUCACAUCACUUCACGCCCCCAUGUUGUACGACGUUACAGAGCUACUAUCGAGUACCGAGAGUGGCACCUGAUUACGUACUCCUGAUGUUAGCUCUGUAGUGUAGUUAGCCGGCGGUGGAUUACGGAGGGUGAUUCCGCCUUCACCACUUCCGAUAACGACUCUGUCAUGCAACCCCUCAAGCGUGGACCAUCGAGGGUGAUUCCUCCCUGGUCACCUUGACGGUUACAUCGUUCGGAAUCCAUCGAGGGUGAUACCUCGGAUCCCUCUGAUGUUACAGCCACACGGUUACUUUACCUUACUACUAGGAACAUGAUGAAAGGUGUGUCGUGGAUGGAUACCUGCGUGGAUGUGACGAGGCGUAGUCGGGUAUUCUUGGCCCUUGCCACACAUCCUCGAGAAGGGGCGAUGGUACCACAUAUCAUGGAUUGUUGAUCGUCACCGCAAGUUAAUUAAAAUGCUAAUUGGAUUUGGAUAUUUGAUCUGAGUUGGUCGAUGACCUCUUUUGCACUAACUCCGUGUGGGAGAAGUUAUGGGUACUUAGCGUCAUUGUAUCAGCCAAAGCUCUUCACACAUCACCAUUUCAGCGGCGCGCGCCCGAGUGGUUCGUGUAACCAUUGAUCUUGUAUUAGAUGUGUUAGGACUAAUCUCGGACGCCCAUGCAAUGUACCAGAGCGCAAAGGGCGAUUGGUCCAAGACCCGUGCGUGCUUAGGAGGUAGACCGACGGGCUGGCCUCUCCGUUGAGCCUAGGUAGGGCUGCGACUUGUUGAUCUUCCGAGGCCGGGCAUGACCCAGGAAAGUGUGUCCGACCAGAGUUGAUCAAACAUGUUUGGAAAAGUGGUGCACCCCUGCAGGGAUGAAAUUGCAAGGUGUGAGGUUGAGUGCGACUCAACGACCGACCACGGCGGAAGAUAGAGAAAAGAUGAGUACCAUCCCCUAUGCUUCAACCAUAGGCUAUAUCAUGUAUGCCAUGGUGUGUACGAGACCUGAUGUGAACCUUGCCAUAAGUUUGGUAGGGAGGUACCAGAGUGAUCCAGGAGUGGAUCAUUGGACAUCAGUCAAGAAUAUCCUAAAGUACCUGAAAAGGACUACAAAUAUGUUUCUCGUCUAUGGAGGUGUCGAAGAGCUCGUCGUAAAGGGUUACGUCGAUGCUAGUUUCGACACAGAUCUGGAUGACUCCAAGUCACAAACCAGAUACGUGUACAUUUUGAAUAAUGGGGCAUUAAGCUGGUGCGGUUGCAAGCAAAGCGUCGUGGUGGCAUCUACAUGUGAAACGGAGUACAUAGCUGCUUCGGAAGCAGCACAGGAAGGAGUCUGGAUGAAGGAGUUCAUCACCGACCUAGGAGUGAUUCCAAGUGCGUCGGGCCCAGUGACUCUGUUCUGUGACAACACUGGAGCUAUUUGUAUUGCAAAGGAGCCCAGGUUUCACAAGAAGACCAAGCACAUCAAGGGCCGCUUCAACUCCAUUUGUGGAUACAUCCAGGAUGGAGAUAUAGAUAUUUGUAAAAUACAUACGGAUAUGAAUGUCGCAGACCCGUUGACUAAACCCCUUCCAUGGGGAAAGCAUGAUCAGCACCAGAACUCUAUGGGUGUUCGAUUCAUCAUAAUGUAACUAGAUUAUUGACUCUAGUGCAAGUGGAAGACUCUUGGAAAUAUGCCCUAGAGGCAAUAAUCCAGUUCAUGAUAACUGUCUAUUAUUCAUGCUAUAAUUGUAUUAACCAGAAACCAUAAUACAUGUGUGAAUAUAUAGAUCACAAUGUGUCCCUAGUGAGCCUCUAGUUGGCUAGCUCGUUGAUCAAUAGAUGAUCAUGGUUUCUUGAUCAUGGACAUUGGAUGUCAUUGAUAACGGGAUCACAUCAUCGGGGAAUGAUGUGAUGGACAAGACCCAAUCCUAAGCAUAGCACUAGAUCGUGUUGUUCGUGUGCUAAAGCUUUUCUAAUGUCAAGUAUCAUUUCCUUAGAACGUGAGAUUGUGCAACUACUGGAUACCGUUGGGGUGCUUUGGGUGUACCAAACGUAACAACGUAACUGGGUGAUUAUAAAGGUGCACUACGGGUAUCUCCGAAAGUGUAUGUUGAGUUGUACGAAUCGAAACCCGGAUUUGUCACUCCGUGUGACAGAGAGGUAUCUCUGGGCCCACUCGGUAAUCCAUCAUCAUAUUGAGCUCAGUGUGACUAAGGGGUUAGCCACGGGAUGAUCUGUUACGGAACGAGUAAAGAGACUUGUCGGUAACGAGAUUGAACAAGUUAUAGGGAUACCGACGUUCGAAUCUCGGGCAAGUAUCAUACCGAUAGACAAAGGGAAUUGCAUACGGGAUUCAUUGAAUCCUUGACAUCGUGGUUCAUCCGAUGAGAUCAUCGUGGAACAUGUGAGAACCAACAUGGAUAUCCAGACCCUGCUAUUGGUUGUUGGCCGCAGAGAUGUCUCGGUCAUGUCUGCAUGUUUCCCGAACCCGUAGGGUCUACACACUUAAGGUUCGAUGACGCCAAGGUUAUAGGGAAAUACUGUACGUGGUUACCGAAGAUAGUUCGGAGUCCUAGAUGAGAUCUCGGACGUAACGAGGAGCUCCGGUAUGGUCCGGAGGUAAAGAUUGAUAUAUUGGAUGAGAGGUUUUGGACACUGGAAAUGUUUCGGGCGUCACCGGUAACGUACCGGGACCACCGGAAGGGUUCCGGGGGUCAACCGGGAGGGCCCACCAGCCCCAAAGGCUAGCAUGGGCCAAAAUGUGGAAGGGAACCAGCCCAGAGUGGGCUGGUGCACCUCCCACCUAGGCCCAAGGCGCAACAAGGGAGGAAGGGGGGCAAACCCUAGGCGCAGGAAGGGCCCAAGGCCCAUCUGGGUGUGCCACCCCUCCUCUCCCUGCCCUGGCCGCUGCGCUCUGCCCUAGAUGGGGCUGCCGCACCCCUUAGGGGUCGGAACCCUAAGGGUUGGCACCUCCUCCCUCUCCUCCUAUAUAUAGUGGUGGUUUUUGGCUUUUGGAGACACAAUUUCUUCCUCUCCCGGCGCAGCCCUACACCUCUCUCUCCUCGUACUCUGCAUAGCUUGGCGAAGCUCUACCGGAGAACCUUGUAGCUCCAUCGCCACCACGCCGUCGUGCUGCCGGAGCUCUCCCUUAACCUUUCCCUCCUCCCUACUGGAUCAAGGCGUGGGAACGUCACCGGGCAGUACGUGUGUUGAACGGAGAGGUGUCGUAGUUCGGCACAUAGAUCGGAAUCCACCGCGAUCUGAAUCGCAGCGAGUGCAACCCCAUCAACCGCGUUCAUACUAAUGCUUCCGCUUAGCGAUCUUCAAAGGUAUGAAGAUGCUCUAAAACCUCUCGUUGCUGGUUUCUCCAUAGAUAGGUCCUAGUAUGGCGUAGGAAAAAUUUGAAUUUACUACGAUCCCCAACAAAUAUGACUGUAUUUGUGUUAUUGGUCUACACUCUUCUAAUGCUGCAAGACAGUGGAGAUGCUAGUCUUUUAUAGGACUAGACCUUCUCUCUAUUCUCGCAUUGCUGCACACAGUCCAGAUAUAACCCCAUUCCUUUGAUACUGCUGCAUACUUAGCAUAGUUCUGUUGUCAGUCUUGCGAGUACUUUGGAUGAGUACUCACCGUUGCUUUGCCCCCUCUCUUCGCCUUGAUACGAUUGUCGCGACCAGAUUGUGGAGCCCAGGAGAUGGCGUAUCCCGCCGACGACGUCUACUACCCCGACGAUGCCUACUACUACGUGCAGGCCGCUGACGACCAGGAGUAGUUCAGGAGGUUCCGAGGCAGGAGGCCUCGCCUCUUUCGAUCUAUGCAUAUUUUGUGCUAGCCUUCUCUAAGGCAAAACAUGUUUCUAUGUCUCUACUCAGAUAUUUUUUACUUCCGCUGACUCGUGUGUUUUCGAACUUAUGUAUUCGAGCCCUCGAGGCCCCUCGCUUGUAAUCUGAAUCUUGUAUGUCUUUUAAUUGUGUCUAGAGUUGUGUUGUGAUAUCUUCUCAUGAGUCUCUAAUCUUGGUCGUACCCAUUUGCGGAUAUGAUUAGCGUACGAUUAAGCUAGGGGCUGAUAACCCACAAGUAUAGGGGAUCACAACAGUUUUCGAGGAUAGAGUAUUUAACCCAAAUUUGUUGGUUCGACACAAGGGGAAGCAAAGAAUAUUCUCGAGUAUUAGCAAUUAAGUUGUCAAUUCAACCACACCUGAAAGACUUAGUAUCUGCAAUCAAGUUUUAGUAGCAAAGUAGUGUGAUAGUAACGGUAGCAGCGAUAGCAGUAGCAGUAGUGACAGCAGUAGUGGUAAAGUAACUUAGCAAGGACCAGUAGGAAAAGCUCGUAGCCAUUGGAUCGGUGAUGGAUAAUUAUGUUGGAUGACAUUCAUCAUGUAACAGUUAUAACAUAAGGUGAUAUGUAACUAGCUCCAGUUCGUCAAUGUAAUGUAGGCAUGUAUUCCGUAUUUAGUCAUACGUGAUUAUGGAAAAGAACUUGCAUGACAUCUAUUGUCCAUCUCUCCCAUGGCAGCGGGGUCCUAAUGGAAACUAAGGGAUAUUAAGGUCUCCUUUUAAUAGAGAACAGGAAAAAAGCAUUAGCACAUAGUGAAUACAUGAACUCCUCAUACUAUGGUCAUCUCCGGGGGUGGUUCCGGCUAUUGUCACUCCGGGGUUGUCGGGUCAUAACACAUGGUAGGUGACUACAACUUGCAAGAUUGGAUCAAGAACACACAUAUAUUGAUGAAAACAUAAUAGGUUCAGAUCUGAAAUCAUGGCGCUCGGGUCCUAGUGACAAGCAUUAAGCAUAGCAAAGUAGUAGCAACAUCAAUCUCAGAACAUAGUGGAUACUAGGGAUCAAACCCCAUCAAAACUAACUCGAUUACAUGAUAGAUCUCAUCCAACCCAUCACCGUCCAGCAAGUCUACGAUGAGAUUACUCACGAAGGAUGAAGAGCAUCAUGGAAUUGGCGAUGAAGGAUGGUUGGUGAUGACGACGGCAUCGAUUUCCCCUCUCCGGAGCCCAGAACGGACUCCAGAUCUACCCUCCAGAGGAAGAACAGGUGGUGGCGGCGGCUCUGUGUCGUGAAAUGCGAUGAACUCUUCUCUCUUAAUUUUUUCUGGGCAAGAGAGAAUAUAUAGAGCUGGAGUUGGAGGCUGCGGAGCCACGAGGGCCUCACAAGCCUGCCGGGCGCGACCUAGGGGGCCGCGCCUCCUGGGCUUGUGGGCUCCUGGCUCCGCGUCUCCAGGUAAUUCUUGCGCCAGUAUUUUUUAUAUAUUCCACAAAAAAUCCUCGUAAAUUUUCAGGUCAUUCCGAGAACUUUUAUUUCUGCGCAAAAACAACACCAUGACAAUUCUGCUGAAAACAGCGUCAGUCCGGGUUAGUUCCAUUCAAAUCAUGCAAAUUAGAGUCCAAAGCAAGGGCAAAAGAGUUUGGAAAAAUAGAUACGUUGGAGACGUAUCAGGGGCGUCAUACCCUGAUGGACUGACACGGUGCCACACUCCUGGUGCAUGUGAUAGUAGCAUGGUGUUCAUCUUCCUGUCCACUACCGCAAAUUUCACACACACUGUCAUCCACAAUUGUUCUUCUCAAUACAUCGUAUUUAGUAGGCAGGGAGUUAGUAGCCACCCUCCACCCGAAAACCUUAACUCUCUCCAGGAUCUUUGCCUUCCAGAUUACAUCCCAUAUACUACGGUCCCCGGGAUCUCUUGAGGAGCUAGUCGCCUUCUUCGUGCCCUUUCUUUUGAGAGAAUCUGCUAGUUUGUAGGCACUUUUUACCGUGAAAAUACCGGUUUUUUAUAGUGCUAAGCGAUGUAGUCCUACACUCCAACUCACGGAAUUUUCAACUUACAUAUUUCAUCUGCGUCGAAAGAGUGGAAGAUUUGUCUCACUAGUUGCACAUUACACUCUUUCGAAAGACGAUCAAUCAAUUGGUUCACCCAUCUUAGACGAGAACUCCUGGUAAAAGAACCAACUUUCAGCCCCUCUUUCCUAGGGAUCCAUUGAUCUCUUGUGAUCUAGACGUUUCUUCCAUCUCCAAUCCACCAAAUAAGCGCCUUUUUCAGAAGUUCCAAUCCAAACUCAAUCCCCCUCCACACAGGGGAGGCGUCCGACGAGAAGACAGUGUAAAGGAGUGAGCCAUUGGGGUAAUAUUUGGAUUUUAGCACCCUGGCAAACAAACUCUCUGGCUUAUGCAAUAACCUGCACCCUUGCCAAGCAAGAAGAGCUUGAUUAAACAGAUGGAUAUUCCAGAAUCCAAUGCCCCCAUCGCAUUUUGACUUAGUCAUGUUAUCCCACGACUUCAAGUGGAUCUUGCGUUUGUCGUCUUUGUCACCCCACCAAUAAUCCCUAAUGACUUUGUCCUAGUUGUUGCAAAAGCUCUCGUUGAGUUUGAAGAUCCCCGUGACAUAGGUAGGUGUUAGAGCAUAUAUCUCCAUAUGUGGUUUUGGUAAUUGAUGACAAUUCCUAUGGACUAAUGGUUGCCUUAAGUUACAUUUAUAGGAUUUGUCCAUAGGCACUUCUUGAAGUCCAUCUGUUGGGUUCAAGGAGUUUAUAUGAUGACCAAGAUGGUAUUUAAGGUAUUAUCCAAAGAAUGGUCAUAGAGACACAUGGUUGAUCAAGAUCUCAGACAAAGAGUAAAUCAAGAUGAUCAACACACAAAGCGUACAAGAUGUACCGAGAGGGAUCAAGUGAUCCCAUGGUAUGGUAAGCAUUGUCCAUUACGUGUUUGUGUACUAACCCAUGGUCUUCGUGAGAAUUCUAUGUGGGGGUUAGGUGUGUUUCCAUGGGCUUGCGUCAAAGGGAAGAUCUCAUACAACCCAUGAAGUAUGACGUCAAGUUGUGAUCGUCAUCAAGAUUGCGAUGUGCAAGUUCAAGUGGAUCAGCACGAAGAUAUCAUGCUUGAAGCUUGCCCUCCAUUGUGGUGGCAAUGGACUUGUGAAGAUAUGUUGAAGAGUGGCUCACCCAUAGUGAGUAUGGGGGAGCAAUCAACUAGUCUUCAUCAAGCCAACGCAAUCAAGAAAGGUGGUCCAUCUUGAGGAAGCCAAGAUCAUCAUCAUCUAGCUCAAGAGGACGAGGUGCAAGGUAUAGGUUUGCCCUUGAUAGGUUUUCUGUUUAGGAUAGAUUGUUGUACUAUCAAGGGGGACUAACAAGUGAGUAGCUUGAUCGUAUCGUUCGUUGAGAGCUCAAACCAUUUGCAUCCUUGCAUCAUACUUCUUGGUUCUUGUUUGGUGUUUCUCUUUGUGAGUUUUAGAGCUUAUGGUCAUCUUCGUGAAAAGCUCGAGUUCAUCGAAAACGGAGUCCAUAUGCAUCUACUAUGAUGUUUUCGAUGUUGGAGUUUUUGCCGGUUCUUCAUGCAUAGAGGACUCACAUCUCUAUAUCAUUGGCAUUUUCAUAUCUGCAUGGUCUUAAGAUUUCCCAGCGGUAGUACCGCCCAUGGCCAGCGGUAGUCCAUAGAGCUGGCGGUAGUACCGUUGUCCCAGCGGUAGUACCGCCCCUGGCCAGCGGUAGUACCGCUCCAAGUUUUUAGUACCGUCAUCUUUGCGGUUGUACUGCGUCGGACAUUUUUUGCGAAGACUUUCUUGGCGGUGGUUGGCCCGGUAGUAUCUUUGCGCUACCAUGGGCUCAGCGGUAGUACCGCUGCAGCCAGCGGUAGUACCGCUGGAGGGUCAGCGGUAGUACCGUUGCAGCCAGCGGUAGUACCAUUGCAGCCAGCGGUAGUACCGCCGGAGGGUCAGCGGUAGUACCGCUGGAGCCAGCGGUAGUACCGCUGGGCUCGGGCUGUAAGUGGGGGUACCGGUCUGAUUCCUUCUCCCACUAUAUAAAGGGGGUCUUCUUCCCCCUUGGCCUUUAUCCAUCCGUUGAGCUCUUGUUCUACCUCCAUUGUUGACAUUCUUAGACCUUGCUAACUCUCAAUCCCUCCAAUGAUUCUUGCUUGUUCUUGAGGGGAAAGAGAGAGGAGAUCUAGAUCCACAUCUCCACCAAUCACUUUCUCCUCUAUGUGAGGGGAACCCCUUGGAUCUAGAUCUUGGAGUUCUUUGUGAGCUCCUUGUUCUUCCUCUCAUAUUUCUCCAUAGCUUUCGUUGUUGUGGAGGGAUUUGAGUGUGAGGGACUUGACCACUUCGUGUGUUCUUGCCAUUGCAUUAGUUACAUUGGUUUGAGUUCUCCACGGUGAUACGUGGAAGUGAGAAGUUGAGAAGCUUACUACCUUUGGUACUUAGUAUCCUAGAUAUUGUUCUUCGUGGAUGCUUUGGCGUCCUAGAAGCUUGGUGGUGUCUCAGAGCUCAAUCAUUGUGGUGUGAAAUUCCAGGAAGCGUCGGGGUCUCCAAUUAGGUUGUGGAGAUUGCCCCGAGCAAUUUGUACGGGUACCGGUAACCGCCCCCAAGGGUUGCCACGUGUACGGGUUCGGUGACCGCCCCCAAGGGUUGCCAUUUGUACGGGUUCGGUGACCGCCCUCAAGGGUUCCUCAGUGGAAUCACGGCAUCUUGCGUUGUGCGAGAGCGUGAGGAGAUUACGGUGGCCUUAGUGGCAUCUUGGGGAGCAUUGUGCCUCCACACCGCUCCAACGGAGAUUAGCAUCCGCAAGGGUGUGAACUUCGGGAUACAUCAUCGUUUUCCGUGCCUCAGUUAUCUCUUACCCAAACCCUUUACUUAUGCACUUUACUUUGUGAUAGCCAUAUUGUUCAUUGUCAUAUAUCUUGCUAUCACUUAGUUGUUUAUCUUGCUUAGCAUAAGUUGUUGGUGCACAUAGGUGAGCCUAGUUGUUUGAGGUUUUGUGCUUGACAUAUUAAACGUUUGUUUUAUUCCACAUUUGUUCAAGCCUAAACCUUAAUUAGUUUAAAGCGCCUAUUCCCCCCCCCUCUAGGCGACAUCCACGUCCUUUCAGUAGGCAAGGAUUGCACAACCGCUUUCACGUUUACUUCCUUUGCUGAUUGGGACAUAAAUCUCUCAUUCCGGCUAUAAAACCUUUUUUCAAACAUCUCCAUGAUUGGUUGGAAAUUGUCGUUCUUCAUUCUUCCCUAGGCCGUUGGAAGGCCGAGAUAUUUGCUUUCAAAGGAGGCAGAUUCCACUCCCAAAAUACUUUUGAUCUCCUCUCCUUCUUGGGUGUUACUCGCCUUGCCGAAUAACAACGAACAUUUGUUUUGGCUCAGGAGUUGGGACGUGCCCUUUUGGAAAUAGAGAAGCACCUCCUUCACUCUCAAAGCUUGUGUUGAUGUUGCCUUAAAGAAUAGGAGGCUAUCAUCGGCGAAAAGGAGGUUUGAAAUUCCCAGACUCUCAGAGGCAAUCUUGAUUGGUGUGAUACUCCCAUCCCUCACCUCUCUAUGGGCAGCGAGAUUGUCAGCCACAAAUAGGAAUAAAUAGGGGCUAAGAGGAUCGCCUUGUCUGAGGCCUGUGGAAGGGGUGAAGCACUCUUAACAUCUCUUUGUUGCAUGUAACCAAGAAUCUCACUCUUCACCUCCUUGCAAGUUUUCGCAAUCUCUAUUUGCUUAGAUUUACACACUCGGGUUAUUUUAGAAAAUUUAGAAAUAAAAAUAUAGCAAGGUUAAAACCUACUCCCUUCGUUCGUAAAUAUUUGUUUUUUUAAGAUUCAACUAUGGACUACAUACAAAAUAAAAUGAAUGAAUCUGCACUCUAAACUAUAUUUAUAUACAUCUGUAUAUAGUCUAUAUUAAAAUAUUUAAAAAGAUAAAUAUUUAAAAACGGAGGAAGUACACAACAGAAAUGUGUUAUUUAUAGUCGUCCGUUUACCCGGCGCAAUUUUAUUUUAUAUAUAAUCAUGAUCUUAUACAAACUAGGUCCUGUUUGAUUACAGGGACUAGCCUAAAAAAACGUUUUUACUCUCCAUGUAACCAAACUGAAAGGACUUUUUCUUAAAGACGUAGAAAAAGACCCUACUGAAAGGAUCUUCAUUUUUAAUGACUGAAAUUUAAAAAAAAGAUCUAAUCGCUUGAAACCAAACACCCAUAGUCCAAAACUAUUCACGAGCUUCCAUGGUCUCCCCACCGUCCAGCAUCAAGAUUGAUCGGCCGCCAUAGGCCAGGAAGACCGAUGGAAUUAGCCGGCGAGGACGAGGGCCGUGUGACAGGCCAGGGUUCACCUUUUCCGAGAGCAUGUGUUGACACAAGUUUUCGGCCGUGUCGCCUGAUAGGCUGACACCGACAAGUGCGCAUAUUUUGAGGAACACUUGUACGAGCACUUGUAUGAACAGACAACUGGUUCAUGCGUUGGGCUUCUCAACUCUAUUAUAUAUUUUUCUUCUAAAAAAUAAAAAGAGGUUUUCAAGUUUCGACCGUGUCGCCAGAGACCGAUGGCUCUAUCCACGUUAAAUUAGCGGCAGCACUUCCCUGCCGGAAAAUAAAGUUUUGAUGAACCAGCUGCUUGCUCGCAGAACAAAAAACAAUUAUAUUAAGAAAAAAGCGGUAAUCUAGGGAUCGAUCGCUAUCUCGAUGUCGAUUGACGUCGACAACGGCAGCUUCCGGGCAGCUUCGCGGCCUCGUCCGCUGCGUUGCGGCUAAGCUAGGGAUCGCGCCCCCCGCGUUGUGUUGCCCGACACGUCGCCGGUCUGACCCGGCCCGCUUUACUUUGCUUUGCUUCUCUCCCUUACCUUAAUCAUCUCGACCCAGGUCGGCCACUCAAACCCCUCAUCAUAGUACUACUCCCACUAGUCACUAGUGGUUGAUCGUUUCAAAACACUAGCUAGGGGUCCGUGAAGAAAGCAACGGCCACCAAUCGGCUGCCCACGCGUGGCGGUGCACGUGGCAGAUGUUUGUUUUUCCUACACACAAUGCAUUUUUGUAUGCAUCCGCAUAAACAAUUUUUAUAUACGUAUACGUACAUUUCAUUUCUGUGAACACCAUCGUAAGACUGAAUUAAGAUUUAAUAAGUUAUCGUGGACGACUUGUCAUCGAUGGAUUUCAUUUCUACAGAAUGCCCGUCGUUAAAUUUUUUGAAAUAAAUUCAAAUAUAAUACGAGCAUCGUUAAAAAGACUGAGGAUAUUAUUCGAUAGGUUGGUUAGCGGGUGUACGUGGCAGAUGGUAUGUGGUUAACCAUGCUCCCUGCAAUUAAUCUUGUUGUUAAUUGGAGCGUCGAGUCACUGGGUGAGCAGGUCGCACGGAUCUCUCGCCGGGUCUCCAUCCAUCUUUGACUGAUUAACAUAAUCGGCCCAACUAUGCUAAACAAACUCGCGGGUCGACGUCGUGUCCGGCCGAUCUCUGGCAGCUAGCGCGGGGCCACGCACCCGCUCCGCCUACUUAUACCAGGAGCCCGUCAUUGGAGCAACAAGAAGGAGCUCGCCAUCGAAGCUGCAGCAAGAAGAAGAUCUAGGAGUUUUGCAUCACCGGCAUCAGCAGCGGCAGAAGAAGAUCGAGUGAGCGAGACAGGCGAGGAAAGCAAGGGGAUCGAGGAGCAUACAUGUCGUGCGCGGUGGCACCGGGCUCGCCGGUCUUCUCGCCGUCCCGGCUCGGCCUGCUCACGCCCUUGGACCAGCUCCACCACCACCACCACGGCGCCUCCUUCCUCCCCUCCUCGCCGCUCCGCCCCUUCGCCCCCCUCCGCGCGCGCAUCGUCCACCACGACCCCUCCCCUUNNNNNNNNNNNNNNNNNNNNNNNNNNNNNNNNNNNNNNNNNNNNNNNNNNNNNNNNNNNNNNNNNNNNNNNNNNNNNNNNNNNNNNNNNNNNNNNNNNNNGGGAGAGGCAGCGACGGGCGGGGGAGAGGGAGCGUCGCGGGGGAGAGGUAGCAACGCGGGGGAGAGGCAGCGACGGGGGGGAAGAGGUAGCGACGGGCUGGGGAGAGGCAGCGACGGGCUUGGAUUGGUUGCUAUUGAUGUAUAUUGAUGUAUAUUGCUGUCAAUUUGAUGUCUAAAAUAGUUGUGGAUUGGUUGCUUGCAGAUGGACGAUGACCAAACCUUCUUGGACAUCAUUAAUUUUGGUUACACACAAACACAACCAGAUAGUUCACAUGGCCUCUAAGAGCAUCUCCAACAGUUUGUAUAUUCAAUCAUUGGUAUAAAUGUCCACGUCAGCAGCCAACAACACAUCAUACAAGCUCUUCAAGGGAGUGUAUGUUAAUCGUAUGUAAAAUAACUAAGCGGGUUCACUAAAUGUUGUAGAAAUGACCAUGCUUACCUCGAAGCUUGUGCCUCAACCGUUGCUUAAAGUUCAUACGAUUCCAUUCUCUCUCUUCUUUUAUUACGUGUCAUGUCAUUAAAAUCGUUUAUGUGGCAAUUUUACCGACGAUGAUCAUACGACUAUUGAAGAUGCACUAAGCAUGCCAUGCCAUUUUUGGGGGCAUUUUUUCCACCCCGAGUGCAUGCAAUCUAUGCUCCCUAACAUAGCGGGAAAUCCUCUUUCCUCCCCUGUUGCAAGUAACCUAGCAAUGUCUUCUUCAUUUGGAGAUCUUAGGUACUUUUCCCCAAAAACUUCACAAACUUUGAUCACAAAUUUCUUGCAAGACUCUAAAUUAGUAGCCUCAGCGGACCGGAUGUACUCAUCAAUACCAUCAGUUGCUAUUCCAUAUGGGAGGAUCCGCAUUGCCGUGGUCAUCUUUUGUAGAGGAUGUAACCCAAGAGCUCCAGAAACACUUCUUUUUUGCGUAAAAUAACCAUCAUAGUCAUGCUCAAGUAUACCAUCAGCUAUGCGGUUGAACAAAGUACGCGACAUCCUAAAUCUAUGCAUAAAAAGUAAAUGAGAUAGGGAAAUGAAAAAAGGACCAAAGCAGAGAAGUGUACUAAUUACGAACCUUCAUCGAAACAAAUGUUCGGGAAAGCGAGGAACUUCUUUGAAGUAGUCGAUCCACAAAAGAAGAAAUCUGGCAUCUCUUCCUCGAUCGAUUGACUGGCGUCCAUGCUUGGAACCGCCAUGGCGUCGAGCGUUCUUCCUCUCUUCCUCCCUGCGCUCGGCGAAUGCUGCAAGUAUGAGUUCAUCGUCGCCAGAUAAAUAUGACGAAGAACUCAUGUCCCAAGUGGAUGUGUUCAUUGUGUUGCGUGAGAGACGAUAGAGAAAUCUAGGUGAGAAGAGAAGUCACAGGUAGAAGUGUGCUGGAAGAGAGGUGGUAGGGGUGGUUUAUAUAGAUCAAAAAUAUGGCCGUUGGAAAUAUAGCCAUUUGAAAAUAUAGUCGUUUGAAAAUAUAGCCGUUGGAAAUAUAGUUGUUUGAAAAUAUAGCCGUUUAUACAUGUUCUAAUUUACACGUUCCAUUGAAAAACUGAGAAGUGUAUAAUUUAGCAAGGUGUAUAUAGACGUGUAUAUGGAGAUAUAUAUAUAUAUAUGCUGUAAUGCAUGCGAGAUAAGUUGGGUCAGUUUUGUGAUCUGCCCCAAUCACUCUGCUUCACACUUGCACAAAAGUCACCUCAUGGAAGCGAGUGACUUUGCCUUUACACGUUGAGGUCCACAAGUGGCGCCAGCACAAUCACAUCGCCGAGAUUUGAGCCCUACUUCCCACAUGUAGUUUCCAUCAACCUCACACAUGUAUGGAAUGUGGUACCCGAACAAAGCAUAGUGGGCGAUGAAUCGUGACAAGAAAGCAGUCAGUUUCAAAAAAAGAAAACGGAGACAAAUCAUGCUUGCCAGCUUUUCAAAUGUAGAUAAUUGGAUAGCAUGCACUUCAAUGAGACCGUGUUCAAUUUGGGCACUCUAGUACUCCUACUCCUAGUACUUCAAUACAAAACAUCACAAGUGACAAAUUUUUGUUGUCUGCUCCAUUGGUUUGACAAGUGUUGAGUUUGAGAGAAGAGAUAAACAAGUCCUCUUUUGAGACACAAAAAAGAGAAAACAAGAGCCGUUCCCGCUAGCCGGACCGUUUGGGCCAUUAAUAACAAUUCAUAAUACAAAUCAGGCCCGUAGUACUUUGAAAGAAAAAUGUUGAAUAUGUAUUAGAAAAAUACGAAUCUUGAGUUUGAAAAAUCUUAAUCAAACAUUUUUAAAAGUCGUGCAUAGGAAAAAUAUUGACCAUGUAUUAUAAAAAUGUUAAUCUUGAGUUUGAAAAAUCUUAAUCAAACAUUUCUAAAGUUGUUCGCAGGAAAAAUAUUGACCAUGUAUUCAAAAAAUAUAAUUUUGUAUUUUGAAAUAUUAAAAAUAUAUAUUUAAAAAUGUUGAAUAUUUAUUAUAAAAUGUUAAAAUUAUAUUUAAGUUAUGAAACAUGUAUUAAAAAAUUGUUGACAUAUAUAAGAAAUGUAUAACGAAAACAAAAUGAAAUAAAAAUGAAACCAAAAAAAUCAAUAUACAACCGAAGAAACAAACGCAAGAAGAACAAAAAAAGUGGAGAAGAAAAAAAUAAAAGUAACAAAAGAAAACAAAAAAUAAAAAUAAACUGAAUAAAAUAGAAGAAAUAUGAGUUGGACGAAGUGCUAGAUGGAGAGGUUUCUAGUGACCUUGGCAGCUUGGUCAUCGACUAUGUGUUACUCGAUGAGAGUAUAGGCUGUAAAACAAGUCUCUCCGAAGAUUGACCGCCCUCUCGACGUGAGAUUCACUGCGUUCACUAGUGGCUUUGAUCGGGAGAUUGUGUUGUUAUAUGGUAAGUUCUGUGGGAAUGAAAAACAGCUCCAAAAUGUUGUCGCGAUGAUAGGCCGAGGGGAAAUUGGAUAUUUGCUUAAAAUUGAAGAAAUUAUUGUUUUGGUGGACUUUCCAGGAAGGAGUUGUUGGAGCUAUUAGGGCCUCGUUCGAAGGUACGCCGCUCCACAACUCCACUCCGGGAGCAGGUGGAGUUUUAGUUGAUAUUUGCGGAGCGUUACUUUACCGGCUCCGCAGCUCUCCGGAGCCGGUGGGAUUCAGAACGGACCCUAGGUCUCCUGAUGACCAAGUGUUAGAUUAUGCGCAGUUGAUGUGACGGUGCUUUUCGCUCCUAAGUACUUUACCACGUCUAGAUGAAACCUAAAGCGAGCUGAACAAGUGAUACGUCCCAAACGUAUCUAUAAUUUCUGCUUUUUCCAUGAUCUUUUGGAUGACAUUGUUAUAUGUUUUGCUAUAUUUUUAUAUCAUUUUAUACAUAUUUGGACUAACCAACUAACUCAGUGCACCCAGUGUCAGUUUCUGUCUGCUGAUGUCUAUUUUGCAGGGUCUUUUAUCCAAUUUUCAGAAGCCCGAAAAAAUCCAGAAAAAUAUAUAAAAAAACCAGCGAAACAGAAGCUUCGGGAUCACCGAAGGAGGGCCAGAGGGGGGGCCAGGGGCCUCCCAGGCGGUGUGCUGGCGCGGCCAGGCCCUAGGCCGCGCCAGGAGGUCGCCUGGGUGGGCCCCACCUCCUCUGAUGCCCUCCUUUGGCCUAUAUUUAGUGUUCCGUGAGGAAACCCUCGCAAACUUUGUGGAAUCACGAAUUUCUCCACUGUUCCGCCGCCGCAGCGCUUCCAAGACCGGAAGCGUCAGGAGUCCUCUUCCCGACACCCUGUCGGAGGGAGGAUUGACCUCCGGGAGCUUCUCCACCGUCAUGGACGCUUCCCGGACGUGCUGUGAGUAAUCCUCCUUGGACCAUGAGUCCGUGACCAGUAGCUAUGUGAUGUCUUCUCUUCAAGGCAUCUAUGUAAUUCUCUUGCUAUUGCUAUGCUCGGUUUGUUAGGAUCCGAUGGAUUAUGAGAUUAUGUUCAGAUUGUUAUGAGUUAUAUAUUUGAUUAUCCUUUUAUAUUAUGUUCCUUAGUGAUUCAUACAUGUUCUCCGUUGCUUUUUAUUGCUUUGGCCAAGUAGUAGAUCGUAACUCCAAGAGGGGGCGUUAUGCAUGAUUGUGGGUUCGGACCCCUCGAUGUCUAGCUUGAGUGACAAAAACAUGAGACUAGGGGAUGUGCUUGUUGCCACCAGGGAAAAAACAACGGUGCUUGUGACCACUGUUGCAAGGAUUGUUUACCUUACGCAUAGUUCGUUAAUGCAGUUGUCCGUUGCUUUGAGUUUACACUUUGGAUGGGGCUCGCAACUUAAUACCGGAGAUAUGUUAUGGAUAGAUAUCUCAAGGUGGAUGAUUAGUAAGUAGAUGUUGAUGAAUAAACGGUCUACUUGUCUUGGCGUACUGCCCAUUACUAUUGAACCUCUAACUAUCAAGGAGCAUAAUUAGCAUUGCGGUGCAAUCAUAAUUCUGUCAAUUGCCCAAUUGUUAAUUGUUUACCCUAGCAUAGUUGUUUAUCGUCUUUUUGGAGAGAGACAUUACUAGUGAACAUCAUGUGACUCCGGUCCAUAUCACCAUCAUUGUUUACAACUCCAUCAUUUACCGAUUUCAUUUACUUUUCCGUUGCAAUCACUAUUACCUUCCCGCUUGUGUUUUGAUCCUUUGCAAACUACAAGGCCGGAGAGAUUGAAAACCUCUCUGUACUCGUUGGGACCAAAGUUAUUUGUUGUGUGUGUAGGUUCACGUCUUCUGCUAGCGCUAGGGUGGAAGACACCUACUUGUUGAUCCUAGGAGUCCUACUGGUUCGAUAAACUUUACAGUCUCAGUGUAAGGGAAAUUUGUUGCUGACUACAUCUUCACCUUCCACUUGGGGUCCAACAAGGGGCGAGAAGUAUAUACAUCAACUCGUCAUCAAGCGAAUUUCUGGCGCCGUUUCUGGGGACUCCACUCUUCAAGAUAGGGGAGUUGCACACCAUCUUUUUACCUUUGCUUUUUAGUCUUGUUAGUUUGCUUUCUAGUUUUUGUUGUAGAGUCCUACACCAAAAACCACAAAAAAAAAAGUUACUUUGCUUUUAGUUGUCAAGCAUGUUAAGGUUUGAUGCUUGGAAGGAACUUGAGGUCCUAGAUUUCCAUCAAAGGAAUGGAGAAAAUGUGAAGGAAGCAUGGGAUAGAAUUUCUGAAGCACACAAAAGAAUUAUGCCUUGGAUACCUAUCAAAAUUGUGCUUAUAAUUUUUUUAUCAUGGUCUCUUUAUAUGGUGCAAACACUCUCUUGAUAUUAUAGCUAAAGGAGAUUUCUUAGAGUGUGAUGAGGCUAGAGCUCUUGACACUAUACAUGGUCUAUCUAAUAAUCUUGUUUAUAAUCAUGGUUAUUACACUAUUAUAGAUAGACUUGCUACUAUUGAAGGGAAAAUAGAUGCUCUAGACUUAAGAGAAAAAGAGAAACCCAUGGUUGAUAAGGAACAUAUUUUGAAAAUAGACGAUGACUGGGAACCUUUAGUUAGAAUUAGCAUCUCUAACCAAGACUUCCUUGCUUAUUGUGAUAUUGGUCCAUGGUUUCUACUAUGCCAAAAAUUGUUUAUGAUUCUCUCUGGUUAGAUAUGGAAAAAUUCUCAUCUUAUCAUGAACACGCUAAUGGUGAUAUUUCUGAAAUUCAGGGAAAGGUAAAAGAUGUCCAGGUUACAUUCUCUAAAAGGAAUGCAACGGUUGAUUUCUUCAUAAUGGAGCCCAACAAAGGGAAUAUAGUGCUUGGAAGGGACUUCCUCCGAGCCAUGAGAGGCUUCAUUGUUGUAGGUAAAGGACACAUACGCUUACGUGGGAAAGCGAAAGGCACGUACCCGUUCCCUAGGAAAAAUAAGGAUGAACUUGUUGAGGAUCCGUUUGAAGGUUUUUACAAUUUUGAUGUCUUCGGAGAAUCUUGAUCCUCCUUCUUGCAUUGUGCCUAUGUGACAGUCCGAGACCGACGUUCCAGAAGAUUCCCCUUUUCUUUCCGUUUUUGUCGUGUGUCUAUUUUCUUUUGUCGCAUCAUCAUCGCAUCAUGCGCAUCAUCAGCAUUGCAUCGGCAUCUCCGUUGCCGCCAGUUUUCAAAACUUGCAUCCGUGUUAGUUGCCGGUUCUCGUCGUUGUCCGUUCUGAGCCCGACCGCACUCGCAUGCGCCCGCGACAUCGUUUAAAUCAUGUUUUCAAAAGUGUGCGUAAAACUUUCUCUGAUUGGGUUGAGAUUUGACGUGCGGUCUUAAUUUAAUAUAGGUAGGUCGCCUGUCAAGUUUCGUCGCAAUCGGAGUCCGUCUGGUACCCGAACGGUCGACCGUAGCGGCACCAUAUUCGGUCUAUCGUCGGACGUCUUAUCGGUGUUUUAAAAUCACGUUGCCGGGUUGCUGUUUUCCCUCUCAUCGCCGCCUAGCCCCUCUGCACAGUGCAUCGACCCUACCCGCAGCCUAGUCCGAAAAACCUCCCGGUACCCGAAACACACGGUCGUAACCAUUGGGUCCGGAUCAACCCUGUUUUACUGCAAACCGUCAUCGGUUUGUUCACUGGACCCCCUAACCUAUUUAUCUCGACCGUCUGAUCUAAACGGAGGGUUGAGAUGUCCCUAAAGCUGACCGAUUUGCUAUAUAUAUAUAGAUCAAUCCUAGCCUAACCCUAAAAACUAGGAGCCUUGUCCCAACCGCCGCCUCCACCCCCCUUGUCCCAUCUCCCACCUUGGGAUCUCCGCUGCCGAUCCGACCCUGCUGCCUUAGCGCUCGAUCCGGAGCGGAUCGAGGCAUCUGCCUGCGCCCAACACCCCGCCUCCACUGGAGGGCCGCGUGACCCCGCGAGCACCAAAGCCAGGCCAGCCCCAUCGCCCUUGCUCCCUUCCUCUCUCUUUCUCUUCUUAUCUUGAUCUCUCUCCCUCUUCCGUUGGUUUUUUCUGUUGUGCCAAGGAACGAACAGAACCCGCCCGCCAUAGCUCCACGACGGUGCUGUCAUGGUCGUCCUCGACGUCGUGCCAGUCGGUCGCCGGAGAAGCUCGUUGGAGGUUUUCCUCCCUCUCCUUGUUCCCCUCUCUCUGGUUCUCUCCCUGUCUCUCGUAUCUUUCUCUCCUUUCUUCUCUGCAGUACAUCAGGGCCGCUGCCCCAAGGAGCUCGCCGUCGUCCGGCCUUGUGGUGCUAGACGCCGCCGCCACCGGGAAUGGAUCCACGAUGCCAAGACCCCCCUAGGUCUGCGUCGAGCUCGCCUCCCUGCCCCAUCCACGGCCCGCCGUCGCCCUCCAUGGUGCUACCCUGCCGUUUCCUCUGUUCUUCAAAGAAAAACGAGCAAGCCAGCGCCCCCUGGGCCCAAGUCCAGCUCGCCGUCGCCGGGAAUCGCCCCCCUGCGGACGGAUCCUUGACCCAGCGUGCAUCCCCAACCCCUCCGCCUUGCUGGAAGCUCCAACAUCGAAGCCAUGUAUCCCCGCCGGCCCCUUCUGUCCGCUGUAAGAAUGCCCCGAUCUGAACUUUGUUUUGUUUUUCUCAGAACCCUUCUCGUUGUUGGGCUUAUUAAGAUUUCCAUGUCUAUUUUUGCACAAGCACAGUAGUAGCCGAGGUGGUUAGUGCCUCUGGUUUCUAUCCGAGGGGUUCUGGUUUCAAAUCCCAGGCACGCCCUAUUAUUUUCUUUUGCCUUGUUUCUUUCUUCAGGUUUGUUAGAGCAGCUUGUUCAGUUAAGUUGCUAUUUCAUUGGGACACUCAGCUAGCCUAGUGUAAAUCCUAGUGCCCUCCUUUUUUUUGCUUUGGACAAGCAUUUUGCUAAAGUCCAUAUUAAAUCAACCGUGCAUCGCGUGCAAAAAUCGUAGAUAUGUAGAACAUGUAGAAUUUUGCGUAGAUUGAUAUUUUCCAACUCUCAUGCAUAAUUAGAGCUUUGCAUCGGUUUGCAUGACGACAUGUCGAAAACGGUUUAGGUCGUAACUAUUUGUCCGUAGCUCCGUUGGAGAUCAUCUAUAUAUGUAAAUCGAGUAGGACGACGUGUAGAAUCACAUGCUCCACUUUGUUUCGCUGUUUAAAGAACAUAAAAUAUGAUUAGGACAGAUCUGGUCAGAAUUAUAAAUCAACGUAUGGGGUCAUUUCGGAGAAGCUAUACGUCGUCUCCGACCUCAUUUAAAAGUGCCUAGAUAUGUAGUUUAAUUUCCGCUUCGCCUCUUGCAUGUUUAACAACAUAUAAUAUUGUCGUGUACCUAAUCGGGGUAGAACUAAAUAAAUAAACGUGGAGUUUUGUCAAUAUGCAACUCGUUGCAUAUUGAACUUCACUUAAUGUGUAGUGUUUGAUUGUGUGAAUUGUCAUGCCGUGACUUGCAUGUAUUCAGCUGCUCAUGCAUCAUAUGUGUUGUGCAUUGUGUGGUGAAUUCCGUGUGUUGAUUUGUGUUUCCGGUUUGCUUCGUCUCGAUAGAGUUCCGCAGCGUGCCGGAUUGUGAGGACCCGUUCGACUACGUCGGUUCGUCUGCUUCACGGAGGCAUUCUUCUUCCAAGCGAGAUCUCAGGCAAGAUGACCAUUUCCCUAGAUACCAUUACUAUCAUAGCCAUGCUAGUUUAUCGCUUCUAUCGUUAUGUCUCAUUGCCUACCAGAUGUUAAAUAUCAGCCUCUCAACAAUGCCAUGUUAACCUUCAACCUGUUCGACCUAGCAAACCACUGAAUGGCUAUGUUACUGCUUGCUUAACCCUGUCGAUAGCGUUGCUAGUUGUAGGUGCAGAUGCUUCCAUGUGAUAACAUGGGUUCCUUGUCUUAUCACCAUAUUAAUGCUAUUUAAUUUAAUGGACCUAUAUACUUGGUAAAAGGUGGAAGGCUCGGCCUUUCUAGCCUGGUGUUUUGUUCCACCUUUGCCCCCUUAGUUUCCGGCUACCGGUGUUAUGUUCCAUAAAUGAGCGCUCCUAACACGAUCGGGGUUGUUAUGGGGACCCCCUUGAUAAUUCGUUUUAGAUUAAAGUUGGUCUGGCAAGGCCCAACAUUGGUACUACAUUUGCCUAAUCACCUAAUAAAAAAAUUGCAUAGGGACUUUCCGGACCCCGAGGAUAAUUUAAUCAACCCCCCGGGCCAGUGCUCCGCAUGAGUGUUGGUCCACCCACCUAGCAGUCGCGGUGCCACCUCGGGGCAACUCGAGGUUUGGCUACCGUCCACUUUGCAUAGACGGUGUGUCCUGAGAACGAGAUACGCGGCUCCUAUCGGGUUCGUCGACACACCGGGUGGCCUUGCUGGAUUAGUUUUACCUUUGACGAGAUAUCUUGUGCAUCGGGAUUCCGGUGAUGCUUUGGGUAAUCUCAGAGUUGAGGUUUUCCACUAGGGAAUCCGACGAGAUCGCGAGCUUCGUGAUUGAGGAUUUCUAUGCGGCUUGUGGUAAUUUGUGAUGGACUAGUUGGAGCACCCCUGCAGGGUUAAAUCUUUUCGGAAAGUCGUGCCCUCGGUUAUGUGACAACAUGGAAACUUUGUUUAACCCUGGUUCUAGAUAACUUGAAGUUAACUUAAUUAAAACUUGCCAACUGUGUGCGUAACCGUGACUGUCUCUUUCGUGAGUACCUUCUCCGAUCAAGGACACGGUGGGGUUAUGUCUGACGUAGGUAGGUGUUCAGGAUCAUUCAUUUGAUCAUCAGUAGUUCACGUCCGUUAUGCGUAGAUCUUCCCCCUCUUAUUUCUUGUACUCGUAAGUUAGCCACCAAUUAUAUGCUUAGCCGUUGCUGUAACCUCACCACUUAACCAUGCCUCACCCAUUAAGCUUUGCUAGUCUUGAUACCUUUGGAAAUGAGAUUGUUGAGUCCCCUGUGGCUCACAGAUUACUACAACACCAGUUGCACGUACAUGUAAAGGUUACUUGACGCGAGCGCGUUGAUUGUUCAUUUCGAGUUGCUUCUUCUUCUUCUUCAUCGAUCUAUGAUGGGUUCCAGGCCGGCAGCCUGGGAUAGCAAGGAUGGACGUCGUUCUUCUUUUGUCGUUUGUUUUCGUCCGUAGACGGACCCUGCUCUUACUCUUGAUGAUUAUGUAAUGUACUGAUGUGACUGAUGUAGCUUGUGGCGAGUGUAAGCCAACUCUAUAUAUACCUCUUCUUUUCAGUACAUGUACUUAUAACGAUAUCCAUUCUUGCGACACGACGAGAUGCGCUUCUAUCCCUGACGAGGCCUUCGUGCCAAAUUGAGGAUAGGGUCGCAUCUUGGGCGUGACAGCCUAGCUCAAAGGCAUAAAAGAAAGCGCUUGUUGGGAGGCAACCCAAUUUGUUUUUACUUUCUGUUUUAGUGGUCUUCAUGUGUGUUACUACUAUAGCAACAUCAUUGUAUCUUUAUUUUUAAGCUUUGUGCCAAGUUAUAGCCUCCGAUUGCAAGAAAGUUCAAAAAUUGUGACAUGCUGUCCAGAAACAGAUUCUGUUUGCUUGACGAAAAAAAUCACCAAAAAUCACCGGAUCAUAUUUUUGAUGUGAUUUUUUUGAAAGCAUGAUCUAUAUAAUUGUCUUUCUGGCGUAUGUUCUGAGUUUUUUGAUUUGAGUUGCAGAAGUUCUCCGAAUAAAUUAUUUACUACCUGCUGUUCUGUUUUCACAGAUUCUGCCAUGUUUUGCGUUUUCAUUGUUUUGUAAAUCCUAAGCUUAGUUUUUAUUUGCAAAAACCCUUUGGCAUUCAUAAGAAGCAAUAUCUUUUCAUUAAAAUCUUUAUUUCCAGCAGGUAUUGAAUUAUUUUAUUAAGGAAACUAACCACUCUAAUCAGCUUAUGAUGAGUUUUGUACGGAGGGAGUUUUCAAGUAUGCAAUGGGAGAGAUGAUGAAAGAAGAUAAAGGAGUGUCAAACGCUCAAUCUUGGGGAUGCCCCCAUGCAUCUCAAGAACUAUUCAAGGAGACUCAAGCGUCUAAGCUUGGGGAUGCCCUCGUCUAUCCCCUUCUCUAUCAACAAUCAUCAGGUCGUCCAUCUUCAUGCUAUAUUUUUAUCACUUCAUAUGAUAUGUGUUAUGCUUGGAGCGUCUCGCUAUUUGCCUUUUAGUUUUGUUUUAGUUUAGUUUGCUGGUCAUAACAAGUCGGAACCUGACCUACCUUGUUUGGAAGAGAGACACGCUCCAUUUCACUCUAUAACACAACAUAGCUUUUCAUGCUUAUCUUUUUUGUGUGUUCUUCAUUUUUUCGUAGCUACUGUCAUGCUUAACUCUUAGUUUUCAUGCUUAUCUUUUUAAGAGAUUUUAUUUAGGUUGAUUUUGGAACUCUCUUGAGUUAUCAUGCUUAUCUUGUUUAGAGAGUUGGCUCGUUGCACUGAGUUGUGUGUCUUGCAUGAGUAGGUAAUUGAGGUUGCUAUUUAAGUAUAGUAGUAACUUGCAAUAGUUUUGAGUUAUUGAUUUGAGUAAUGUUUGGACUAUUGGUGUCAAGAGCUUGAGCCCAUUAGUGAUAGGUGUCGUACUUUGGGAAAUCCGUGUGUUUUUUAAAAACUAAAAAUUAGUUGAGAAUUCUAGCUACUAAAUUGAUUUCUAACCUCUCGAGGGGUUGGAAUAUAUAGUGUACCCUCACGUUACCAUGAGCCGAGGAUGCGCAGGGAUAACCAAACCCCCAAACAUUCCUCCUCGGGGUACUUGUCUCUUUGUGAAUUUCCUAACUAGAUAGAGAGCUGCCGAUAAUAAGUGUAUGAAUUCUUCGGACUAAUGUGAGUAUUCGAUUGUUGGCACUUCCACCAUUCAUAUUUUGCUAGCCUCUUCGGUAACGCACAUUGCACUUUCUCACAUUGAGAGUUGGUGCAAACUCCGCCGGUGCAUCCAAACACAUGAUAUGAUACCCUUUGUCAUACAUAAGCCUCAUUAUAUAUUUCCUAAAAACAGCCACCAUACCUACCUAUUAAGUCAUUUUCAUAGCCUUUCCGAGAUACAUUGCCAUGCAACAUCCAUCAUCUCAUGACUCCAUCUUCAUGUCAUACAUGCUUUUGCUUGAUCGUAGAACCGCAUGCUAGUUGGGCCUUGCCCUCAUUACUGUUACAUGAUGCGCUAGUAUCAUUGCAUAUCCUGUUACACUGGCAGAUGCAUACAUUUGCAUACAUCAUGAUAGUUUUUACUUGUCUUUAUGUUGAGUACUUCUUAUAAAGUAUGAUGAUUUUUCUUUAUAUUCAUGUAAAACAUAGAGUGUUGCCCUUAAGAGAGAAAAAGAUCCCAAAAUGGACAAAACAAAAGACCCCAAAGAGGACAAAUGAGAGAUAAAAAGAAAGAGCCAAAGAGGCCAUAAAAAAAGAAAUAAAAAGAGAGAAAUGGGCAACACUACUAUUCCUUUUGAAAGACCCACGCUUGUAAUCCAUUACUAUAUUGGUACUACAUAGAGAUUAUCAUUCAUGCAUAACUAUGUGGGGACUCUUACACUAUAGAAUUUGGUUUGCAUAUUCCAAUGAUGAGCCUCCUCAAAUGAGCUCUAGGUCUUCGUGAACAUACAAUUGGAUGCACCCACUAGUUUCAUUGGAGAGCUUACCUUAGCUCAUAUAUGCAUCCGUUACAUGGCAAUCACUAUUCCUCACAUCAUAUCUAUCAUUUGGCUUUCUCUCGGCUAUAGUUGUCCUCAUUGAUGUGUGCCCGGACCAAAGCCGUGUUUUCUACAAGUGAUAUAUCCUCCGGGCUGCUUUUGUAAAGUCCAUAUCCGAACCACAUGGCAGAAAACAAAAAAACACUUCGCAACAAUGGAGGAAUCAGCUAGGAAGGAUAUGGAGAGGGCUUUUGGAGUGCUGCAAGCGUGUUGGGAGAUUGUUCAUGGGGCUGCAAUGAUGUGAGAAUAAGAAACUUUGUGACAGGUGAUGACACGUUGUGUUAUUUUGCACAAUAUGAUCGCCGAGGAUGAGGCUGAUGGUGUAGCCCAAACCAACGAUUUUGAAACACUUGGAAUACAAGUUGAAAUCCCUGAAUACCAAGAUGCAAUGCAGCUAAUGAAUUUUUCGCACAUGCAUCAGAAUCUCCGAGAUCAUCACGUGCACACACGCAACUACUUAAAGAUGUGGUGUACCAUAUGUGGACCCAUAAUGGAAAUCAAAGAGCAUAUGAUUGAUCGUGCACUUCAAAUAAAAAUGAUGUAAACCCUUUUUUAUUCGGUACCAACAUUUACUUUACGUGCGACGUUUAUUAUCGGAUGAUCUACGUACAUGACUCUGUAUGAAUUUAAAAGUUUGGAUAUGAGGUAUGUGGAUACACGAAACAAAAUAUAAGGAAACGUUCGCAUUCAUCGGCGGGCAUUUAAAAGAGACGGAUUUGAAAGGUUCGGUUAUAAAUGCUCUAACAUCCGAGCUAAGGUUAGGGUUAGUCUUCAAGUUGGCAGAGGUUUUGAAUCUGUACCUCCCACAGUAGUGACUUUCCAUGAGUAGAGGCCAGCGGAGUUUUUUUAUUUAUUUUAAUCUCGGCCGGCAGAGUUGGUAAAUGUUCCUGGUUCCAGACCAAAAUUGUGGUAAUGGGACGUUUUUUUUUCAGAAGUGCUAAUGGGCUGUCUGUUUUUUUCCAGUGGUAAUGAGCUGUUGCAAGACCGGGAAUAAAAAAAAACUGUUGAAAGACUGAGUUUUGUUUUCCUUGUCGUUUGCGCGGCACACUUGUGCACCCUCCAACUAACAUUCUUGGUCAAGAUGGAUUAUUUUGACGGUUCAACGGCGUUCCGUUGAAUUUCAUGCGCAGUUGUCGUAUGUUUCGUACUCUUGUUGGCUUUGGAGUGGAAUCACAAACUUUGCGUGCGCUCUGCACUGUCGUCGUACGUGUGCUUCAUUCCAACUCCGAGAGUAUGCUAUGAACACAAGAUCACACAUGGUGAUACAUCUCUUCCCUUUUAACUGAAGAAAGAUUAUUCUCGUCCGAGGUAGGUUGAUUGAAAGCUCAACCGGGUGAUCAUUAUUAGCACUAAUGGUGCAUGAUCUUGGUUACAGACACCAGCAGCCGGAUCGAGCGGCCGGCCGGGGACGAGAGAGACGACGUCAAAAAGCCCUCUAUCUACACGUAGGGUGUUCAUCCUCAUCCAUGGCGCCGAUGUAGUAAUAUCUUCUCGCGUGUUAAUUCAACUGUUACCACUACGUACGGUCUUAUCGGAGAGGACGACGCUGGAGCUGGACGACGAGGACGCUGAUGUCGUCGGAGGAGCCCCUGGACACGGCCAUGUCGACGAGCCGGCGGCACGCGGCGGGCAGGUCGCUGGUGAAGGAGGAGGCGGCGUCGACGGCCUCCUGGUUGCCCACCUUGUCCCACAGCCCGUCGGAGGCGAGGAUGAGCAGCUCGCAGUCGGCGCCCACGUCGACGGUCGUCGUCUCCGGCUCCGCCACCACCCAUGGCUUGAGGUGCGCGUCGCCGAUGCCUCGGGUCACGGCCAGUGAGCCCUGCACCCGCCACGUGCCCCGGNNNNNNNNNNNNNNNNNNNNNNNNNNNNNNNNNNNNNNNNNNNNNNNNNNNNNNNNNNNNNNNNNNNNNNNNNNNNNNNNNNNNNNNNNNNNNNNNNNNNGAGAUUGAUGUUGCUACUACUUUGCUAUGCUUAAUGCUUGUCACUAGGCCCCGAGGGCCAUGAUUUCAGAUCUGAACCUAUUAUGCUUUCAUCAAUAUAUGUGUGUUCUUGAUCCUAUCUUGCAAGUUGUAGUCACCUACUAUGUGUUAUGACCCGGCAACCCCGGAGUGACAAUAGCCGGAACCACUCCCGGAGAUGACCAUAGUAUGAGGAGUUCAUGUAUUCACUAUGUGCUAAUGCUUUGUUACGGUUCUCUAUUAAAAGGAGACCUUAAUAUUCCUUAGUUUCCAUUAGGACCCCGCUGCCACGGGAGGUAUGGACAAUAGAUGUCAUGCAAGUUCUUUUCCAUAAGCACGGAUGACUAAAUACAGAAUACAUGCCUACAUUACAUUGAUGGCUGGAGUUAGUUACAUAUCACCCUAUGUUAUAACUGUUACAUGAUGAAUGUCAUCCAACAUAAUUACCCAUCACCGAUCCAAUGCCUACGAGCUUUUCCUACUGGUCCUUGCUAAGUUACUUUACCUCUACUGCUGUCACUACUGCUACUGUUACCGCUGCUACCGUUACUAUCACACUACUUUGCUACUGAAACUUUGCUGCAGAUACUAAGUCUUUCAGGUGUGGUUGAAUUGACAACUCAAUUGCUAAUACUCGAGAAUAUUCUUUGGCUUCCCCUUGUGUCGAACCAACAAAUUUGGGUUGAAUACUCUAUCCUCAAAAACUGUUGCGAUCCCCUAUAGUUGUGGGUUAUCAAGACCUUUUUCUGGCGCUGUUGCCGGGGAGGCAUAGCUCUAUUCUCUGAGUCACUUGGGAUUUACGUCUGUUGAUCACUAUGAGGAAUCUAAAAGAUCCAAAAACUAAAGUCUUGCCCUCAACUACGAGGACAGGUAAGAAGGAACUGCCAUCUAGCUCUGCACUUGAUUCACCUUCAGUUAUGAGUAAAUUUGCGACACCACCACCUAUUGGUAAUUCUGAUAUGUCGCCUGUGCUUGAUGAUGCUACUUCUGCUAUCCAUGAUGCUUAUGAUGAUGCUUUGCUUGAUAAUGAUAUGCCACUGGGUGCAUUUCUUGAUGCACAAAUUGCUAGAGUUACUGCUGAAUGUGAUGAUACUUCUGAAACUGAUGAAAUUAUCGAAGUGGAACCUGCUGUUUCACCUGUUAGACCUAUCUCUCCUAGAUAUGAAUUGCCUAAUAUACCUGAGGGUUAUGUUAUGGAGGGAGAGGUAGCUGAAGACUUUCUUGCUUGUAAGGAUAGCUAUGAUCUUGAGAAUUUAUUACGCAAGUGGAAAGAAAAGUCUUUGAAUGCUAGAAUGAAAUACAAUCCUAAGUUUGCUACUUCGCCCAUCUUUAUCACUGAUAAGGAUUAUGAAUUCUCUGUCGAUCCUGAGUUAAUCACUUUGGUUGAAUCUGAUCCUUUUCAUGGUUAUGAUUCUGAAACGGUUGUAGCACAUCUUACUAAACUGAAUGAUAUAGCCACCCUAUUCACGAAUGAGCAAAAAAAUUGCCAUUAAUAUAUCCUUAAGUUGUUUCCUUUCUCACUAAAGGGUGAUGCUAAGACUUGGUUUAUUUCUCUUGCUCCUGGUUGUGUGCGUAGCCCCCAGGAUAUGAUAUAUGAUACGUCUCCAACGUAUCUAUAAUUUUUGAUGGUUCCAUGCUAUUAUCUUGUCAACUUUGGAUGCUUUGUAUGCAUUUUUAUAUCUUUUUUGGGACUAACUUAUUAACUCAGUGCCAAGUGCCAGUUCCUAUUUUUUUCCGUGUUUUUGACAUUUUUCAGAGGAGAAUAUCAAACAGAGUCCAAACGGAAUAAAAUCUCCGAAAACACUUUUUUUCGGAACAGAAGAUACGCAGGAAGCUUGAGAACCAAGGCAAAUGGCACUAGUGGAGGCCACAAGCCCCCUAGUCGCGGCUUGGGGGGGNNNNNNNNNNNNNNNNNNNNNNNNNNNNNNNNNNNNNNNNNNNNNNNNNNNNNNNNNNNNNNNNNNNNNNNNNNNNNNNNNNNNNNNNNNNNNNNNNNNNNNNNNNNNNNNNNNNNNNNNNNNNNNNNNNNNNNNNNNNNNNUUGCCCUACUUCUUCCGCCUAUAAAUCCCUGAAAAUUCUGAAACCACGGGAGGGAGCCACGAAAAUACUUUUCCAGCGCCGCAAGCUUCUGUCUCCGCAAGAUCCCAUCUGGGGCACGUUCUGGUGCCCUGACGGAGGGGGAUUCGGACACGGAGGGCUUAUUCAUCAACACCAUUGCCUCUCCGAUGAUGCGUGAGUAGUUCACCAUAGACCUUCGGGUCCAUAGCUAGUAUCUAGAUGGCUUCUUCUCUCUCUUGGAUCUUCAAUACAAAGUUCUCCAUGAUCUUCAUGGAUAUCUAUCCGAUGUAACUUUCUUUUGCGGUGUGUUUGUAGAGAUCCGAUGAAUUGUGGAUUUAUGAUCAGAUUAUCUAUGAAUCUUAUUUGAGUUUCUUCCGAUCUCUUAUAUGCAUGAUUUCAUAUCCUUGUAAUUCUCUUCGAGUUGUGGGUUUCGUUUGGCCAACUUGAUCUACAGUUCUUGCAAUGGGAGAAGUGCUUGGUUUUGGGUUCAUACCAUGUAGUGACCUCACCCAGUGACAGAAGGGGUAGUGAGGCACACAUCGUGUUGUUGCCAUCAAGGGUAAAAAGAUGGGGUUUAUAUCUAUUGCAUGAAUUUAUCCCUCUACAUCAUGUCAUCUUGCUUAAGGCGUUACUCUCUUUGUUAUGAACUCAAUACACUAGAUGCAUGCUGGAUAGCGGUCGAUGUGUGGAGUAAUAGUAGUAGAUGCAGAAAGUAUCGGUCUACUUGUCUCGGACGUGAUGCCUAUAUGUAUGAUCAUUGCCUUAGAUAUCGUCAUGACUUUGCGCAGUUCUAUCUAUUGCUCGACAGUAAUUCGUUCACCCACCGUAAUAUUUGCUAUGAUGAGAGAAGCCUCUAGUGAACACUAUGGCCCCCGGGUCUACUUCACAUCAUAUUUUCGGCCUUACACUUUUACUUUGUUGCACUUUCCACCUUCAGAUCUCACCUUGCAAUCAAUCGUGAAGGGAUUGACAACCCCUUUGUAGCGUUGGGUGCAAGUUUGUUGUUUUUGCGCAGGUACUUUGGAGACUUGGCUUGAUUAUCCUACUGAAUUGAUACCUUGGUUCUCAAACUGAGGGAAAUACUUACUGCUACUGUGCUGCAUCACCCUUUCCUCUUCAAGGGAAAAACCAACGCAAGCUCAAGAGGUAGCAAUAUACUACUUCUCUGAGAAAUAUUUUCCUGCCCAUAAGAAACAAGCUGCCUUGCAAGAUAUAUAUAACUUUGUGCAAGUUGAAGAAGAGAGUCUCCCACAAGCUUGGGGGAGGCCUGUCCAGUUACUUAAUGCUUUGCCUGAUCACUGUAACGACUAAGAUGCGGCCCUUUCCUAUUUUGGGGGCGAUGACCCAAAAGCGAAAGAGGCGCAUCUAAGUGUUUCACAAGCGAGAUAAUCAUAGCAAUUACACUCGAACAAAAUAGUAAGAAUGCUUCCUGAAAGUGACUGUCGACAAAAUUUUGAUUAAAGAACACUUGCAAACCAAGUAUGAGCUAGAACUGCUCGGAACAAACGUAUGAUCGAGAUUCCAUCUGAUAUCUUCGUGGAUAAGAUCGCACGGGCUCGAAUUUACAGUAGCCAUCGUGAAGCGUCCCCGAGCCGUAGCAAGCUACAAGGAUUCUUUAAGACACAACGAGAAUCACUGUAACACGAUCAUGAACAAAUGUACCCACUGAAUGUCGAAUCCUAACCUCACAUCAUGCAUCUGCAGGAAGAUUGUCCUAUAAGUCACUACUUGAUAUCCCACCUAUGAAUUCCCGAAAUAUCUGGUCAUGCAAUCGGGUACACGGAUACAAGGUGUAAUAUUUCACACAACUCCUAUACUAACCCGUCCAGUGUAUCACAUCCGUCAACACAUAACCAGAAUCUCGAGCCUUCAUCUACUACAGACCCUUGUGAUCACAACGAUACAAAGUAUGACAGUACCCCCGAACAAUCUGCACCAGUACUGGGGACAUCGGGGUUAUCUCGCCACUACUAGUAUUGAAGCAAUUAUGAACAUCCUUCGUCCUCAGAUACUAAGAAAUCUAAAUGAUGGCGAUGUGCACAAGAAUCCCCUGGAGCUCAACUCCCCGGAAGAAAUCAAGUCAGACAGGAGGAACCAAGAAAGAACUCCGUCCCAUCGAUAUCAUAUAGAUUUGAAAAUACCCGCGUAAUCCUAAUUUUUUUUAGCGAGAAGAGGAGUAGAAUUAAGAUUUCCUAAGUCGAGAACCUCACUAUAGCAUGGAAGAGGAUAAAAAAAACCCACUCUCCGAUAUAACUAAGACUCAAAACAUUUUACUAGACUCGACUCGGCCAAGUUUGAUCACACAAAGGCUCCUAUGGUCGUAAGGCUCUGAUUACCAAGUUGUAACGACUAAGAUGCGUCCCUUUCCAAUUUUGGGGGCGAUGCCCCAAAAGGGAAAGAGGCGCAUCUAAGCGUUUCGCAAGCGAGAUAAUCAUUGCAAUUACAUAAACGAAGAUUGACAAAUAGGGCAUACAUUUGCCAUCUGACAUAGUAUAACAUAAGGUUUACAUCCACACAAUUAUUCAGACAAGUUAGUCCCGCUACGGACUACAUGAAACAAGGAAAAGACUAUGAUAUCCUGCAAGCUGGCCCACGAUCAUGACCACGGCCUCAGUCCUCCGGGUAGUUCACGUACAGUCGGUCGUUCUCCUCAUCGUACUGCCACGCCAGCUGCGUGCCAUCUGGAUCUCCUGCAUCGAGCGUACAUGUACCUGUUGGGGUGUCGUAGUAAACUGUGAGCCAUGGGGACUCAGCAAUCAGAUGACCUUGGUACCGAAACUAGUCAAGUUAUUAGGUGAGGAAGGUUCAGUGUAUAGGUUGCAGCAUCCUAAGCAUAUGUGGUGGCUAACUUACGAAGAUCAGAGUUAUUGAUAUGGUGGUCUACCCGAGCGGUCGAAGACUAGGUGAUCACUAAGUGAUCCUGAACACCUACUUACGUCAAACAUAACCCCACCAUGUUCUCGAUCGAAGAGAGGUCUUCGAAGGAGACAGUCACGGUUACGCACACAGUUGGCAGUUUUAUUAGAGUUAAUUCAAGUUAUCUAGAACCGGAUGUUAACAAAUUAUCCAUGUUUGCCACAUAACCGCGGGCACGGCUUUCCGAAAGAUUAAACCCUGCAGGGGUGCUCCAACUAGUCCAUCACAAACGGUCACGUGCCGCAAAGUAAUCCUCUAUCACGAAUCUCGUGAUCUCGUCGGAUUCCUUAGAGGAAAACCUCAACUUUGAGGAGACCCAAAGUUUCACCGGGAUUCCUAUACGCAAGAUAUAUCGCUAAGGUAAGACGAACCUAACAGGACCUCCCGUCGUGUCGACGACCCCGAUAAGAGCCGCGUAUUUGAGUCUCAGGACACGACGGAUGAGCUAGACGUCGGGUUGGCUAAACCACUGGGUGACCAGGGGGGCCCCGGACAUCGCUCAGGUGGGACCAACACUCAUGAGGAGCACCGGCCCGGGUUGUUGAUUAAAUCCUCGUGCUAGCUAUUCCCUAUAAAAAUUAUUAUUAGGUGAUUAGGAAAUUAAAACCAAUGUUGGGUCCUGCCGGACAAGUCUUAACACUAUACGAUUUAUCAAGGGGGUCCCCAUAACAACCCCGAACGUGUUAGGAGCGAUCAGUUAUGGAAUCAAACACCGGUAGCCGAAACUAAGGCGGCAAUAACGGAACAAAUCACCCGACACAAGGCUAGGCCUUCCGUCAUUUACCAAGUAUAUAGGUGCAUUAAUUAAAUAGCAGUUUAAUCAUAAUGAUAACAAAAUACUCAUGUUAUCACAUGAGACAGCUGGCACGUGCAACUAGCAAAGCUAUACAUUAGAAGCUGAGCAAGCCUACUUAGCCAAACAACAUUAGCUAGGAGGGGAAGGUGUUUGGGUUCAUGGCGUUAACAGGAGGCAUUUUAUCAAGUGGUAGGCAGCGAGCAUAUAUCGAAGGAAACGUGAUUCUAAGCAUAACAAAGCUAGAUACGGUAUCAAGGUCACGGUCAUCUUGCCUGUGAUGUCUUCAGCUUGGAACUGCUCUUGAUCGUCCUGCACGUACUCUCCAGAAUCCACGUACUCGCUCUCCGAUCCUGGUUCUACCCAAGAUAAAAAUAACAGCCAAUGAACACCAACACAACAUGAUGCAACAAACAAUAUGAUGCAUGAGAUGAGAAGGAAGCAUGCAUCACUAUUCUAGUCACUUUCAUAUGCAUGAGAAGAGAAGAUAAACUUCUGGACAGAACUUCACACUAAGCUAUCUUGACAUGCAUGAUGAUGGCAUGAACAGGUGCAUUACGAGAAAACGAUGCAAAAACAUAUAAAGAACGUAGAGAACGGAGCUACGGAUCAACCGGAAACUACAAAACAAGAUAUGGAGUCCUACGGUUCAAAUCCACCGCAAGCACACUCCUCGCAUUACCAGGUUGCCACAUGAUCAAACAAACAAAUAUAGGUGGAUUGGUGCAAAGAAACUCACCACACCACCAACAAUACUCACACAAGCUUCAAAACAACUAAAACAUGCAAUCUGAUCUAAACAACAUCAUAGCAGUUUGUCUACAACAUUCAAAGUACCUACAGCCACCCAAAUGAACCAAACAAGAUAUGUGGCAAAAGCCAUUCAAAAGAUCUACAAGACUGAGCAAGAAGCUACAUCAAAGGCAUAACACAUGAGAAGAUCUAUGGACACAAACUUGGACAGAAAUAACAGAUUCUGGGACUUAGUGAAAAUCUGAGAUUUUCACCAGUUGCUUAUGCUCUGAAACAUUUUGGCAGCCUCCAAAAUGAUAUCUACAGGAAGUGAAAGAGCAUGAAAUUUAACAUAGGGCUAGACAAACCCAAAAGCUCGCAAACCUUAGUUUGUUGCAUGGGCUGAUUCCCAACACAUGAGCUUGUGCAACCACAUCAACAAGGGAAGAAAAUAGCAGCAAUUUCUCAGACUUAGUGAAAAUCACAGAUUUUCACAAAGCUGACAAUUUCAGCCAAGUGUCAACUUUGACAAGGCACAACAAGUUCAUACAAACUCCUAUAUAUAAAACAAAGACUCCAUGUUGUAGAGGGGUUCACCCACUACUGCCACAUCAAGGAUUCAUCCUUAUAGGGCCAACACACCACAUGACACUAAGCUCUAAACAUGGCAUCAAGACAGAAAAAUGACAGUUUAUGAAGUUGCUCUAAAGUGAAAUCUGAUUCCACCAGUGGAUUCCUGGGAUGAUUUUACCCCAAAUCUAUAUAAAAUACAUGGGUACUUGCAUGGAACAAGUAGGCACAAGGCUAGCUCGAAAAUCUACAUAGAAAUCAACAUAAGCAUAAGAGAGCAUUAUCACAUGUGAAUCAAGCAUACAUGGCAUAUCUAUACCUACCUAUGCACAAACACAAGGUUCAUACACCAUCACAUCAACUCAUUGGCAAGCAUGAGGGGUUAGCCCUCAUGCACUAGUGCAUAGGUGCACUCAUGCCCACACACACACAUGCAUGACCACAUACACACAUGCAUAUCCACACACAAAUGCAUACACUCACAAAUCUACCACAUGACACUUCACUCACAUAUACCUAGGUGUUCAAAAGAACACCCCAUGGUUUACUAAGGCCACCAUGCACACACUUGCUCAUGUGUGUGUGACACACAUACACACAUUUACAUGUGUUGGUGCACACUUGCACAAAUAUGUGGGGGGGGGGGGGGNNNNNNNNNNNNNNNNNNNNNNNNNNNNNNNNNNNNNNNNNNNNNNNNNNNNNNNNNNNNNNNNNNNNNNNNNNNNNNNNNNNNNNNNNNNNNNNNNNNNNNNNNNNNNNNNNNNNNNNNNNNNNNNNNNNNNNGCAUAUGCUCCCAUGCACACAUACCACAAACACCCACAUACACACGCAUCACUACACACAGACAUGCACCAAACAUGUGCAUAUCCACACUACUCACCACAUACACCACAAUCUAAAUUUAAAAGGAGGCGAAACCCACUAGUUUGUGUUAUAAAUACCACAUCUUGCUGCCCAAGACAAUGACUAGUGCAACAAAACCAUAAACAGCAAAAAAAAAGAAAAGGAGAACACUCGGAUCGAACCCAGGCCCCUCUGGUGCACAACCAGGACACCAACCACUGCACUAGCACUACCACACUUGACAGAAUAGGGGUAAGAUGCAGGCUAAGCUCUGCUGUCGAGCCACUGUGCUAAACAAAUAACCAAAAACAAAAGGCGACUCCUCUUGGACUCAAACCCACGACCACAGCACCAACAACACUACCCCCUACCACUACGCUACACGAUCGGAUCUUAACAAAGGGGGCAUUGCUCUUUUGAGCAUCCCCCUCUGUACCUUCUACAGAUCAACGGCGGUCGGAACAGGGGAGCCAUGCCGGCGUAGCUACGACCAAAAUUGGCAAGGGGGAACUCGCUGGGAGGAAGAGGGAUCUCUCUGGGAUCCAUUCCCGUGCCAACCGCAGCAGGAGGAGGCCCGCUAUGGCAGCACACCAGUGCUCUGCAUCACGGCGGCGACGGCGACAGAAGCGGCGGCGCUACGCAUCUCUGGCGACUCUACGCGAGGGAAGAGGAAGGAGAGGAUGAGCUGCUCACCCUGGAGUGCUCGGGGAAGACUUGCUACCGCGUAGAGGAAGACGAGGAAGGAGACUCCACGACGGCCCAUAGCUUGCUCCAGCAACGAUGACACGGAGGGGACGCCAGGGAGGAGGAGCGGCCCCGCUAGCGUCGGAAAUGGAACGGGGGAAGAUCCCCCAUCCUCGCGGACGCCUCGGGCUUGACGGAGACACGCCGGCGACGAGGGGAUGGACGACAGGAGCGUCGGCGGCGACCUCUCUGAACUUUACUGACACUGGAUCUUACCUUCGGAGGGAGAGGGAGAGAGAUGGGAACGAGGGGUGGCGGCGGCUAGGAGGAACCCUAGAUGGCCCAGACGUCGAGGGGAAUUGAAUAGAUGCGAGAGGGACGCCUCGACGUCCGUGAGACGACAGCACGCUCGCUCUCUCUCUCCCGGGUCUGACGGAAAGCAGAGAAGAAGGAGACACCGUUAGAGAAGAAGAGAGGGACGGGGAAGAUGCGCCUGUGUGCUAGGGAAAGAGGGAGAUGGGCGUGGGAUGGGAGAGAGCCCAUCCACUAGCGCCAGAUAGAAAGAAAGAAAACCCAAAGGGUUUUCCAUUUAAAACAGAUACACAGCAAGAAUAAAACACCUAGGGAAAUCUAGGUCUCCAAAAAUAAAAAUAAAAUGACCCUGGUCAUAAGGGUAUUAUGACCCAAUUAAAUAAAAUACCAAGAUGAUUUUUGGAGCAAUAAAAUAUUUACAAAACAAAAUUAAUUUAAUCUGUUUUGUAAAUAAAACCCCACUUAAGCAAAGUUUUAAAAUACCCUAGUCACAUCUCCACAUCCACGAGAGAAGGCACUAAAUAAUCUACAUUUUUAAAUCAGGUUUGGAGCAAGUAAAACUUAAGCUCAAGAAAAUAAAUAAGAAGGGGUUUCAUUUGAAAUCUAGUUUGAAAACUAACUUAGUUAAAAACCAAGAUUUGCACACCACACCAACACACCACAUGCACUCAUCACACCACACAUAUGGAUCAACAACAACAACAACACAAGAAAUGGCAUGAAUGCAAAGAAUGGUAUGAUGCAAAGGAGAAGACAUGAAUGCCCACAUGAAAUGACAACUCUCAUAGCAUGACCACAUGGAUCCAAACAUAAAAGGGUUUCCAAAUAUGGCAAGGUUACACUUGGGGCAUUACAAUCACCCUCUUGAGAAAAAUGAAAUACUUGAUAUCUUUUAUAAUGGACUAAUCGAUGCUUCUAGGGACCACCUAGAUAGUUGUGCUGGUUGUGUUUUCAUGGAACAAACUGUGGACCAAGCUGAAAUUCAAUUGAAUAAUAUCUUGAGCAAUGAUAAUGCUUGGACUAUUCCUGAACCACCUCCGAAGCCAACGCCAAAGAAAAGAGGUAUUUUAUUCCUCAGUCCUGAAGAUAUGCAAGAAGCCAAGAAAUCUAUGCAAGAGAAAGGUAUUAAAUCUGAAGAUGUUAAGAAUCUACCACCUAUUGAAGAAAUACAUGGUCUUGAUAACCCGACACAGGUAGUAGAGGUAAAUUCUCUUCGUAGAUUCAAUGAGAGUGAUAUUCCUUAUGAUAAACCUGCUAGCUUAUGCUUAGAUGAAUUUGAUAACUUUGUUGUCAAACAACAAAGUUUCAAUGAUUAUGUUAGCAGACAAUUGAGACAAAAUGCUCGUAUUAUUAAUCAUAUAAGUGCUUGGGUGGAUAGAAAUGUCAAUGAUCUUAAGCUUUUGAGUAAACAUGCUUCUAUGGUCACUACUCAAGUAGAACAAGUACUUAAGGCUCAAAAUGACUUGCUCAAUGAGUUGAAUGAUAAUUCUGUUAGAGUUGUCACUGUUGGGGAACGUCGCAUGGGAAACAAAAAUUUUCCUACGCGCACNNNNNNNNNNNNNNNNNNNNNNNNNNNNNNNNNNNNNNNNNNNNNNNNNNNNNNNNNNNNNNNNNNNNNNNNNNNNNNNNNNNNNNNNNNNNNNNNNNNNAUGACGGAGCGGCGUCGAUUGGCUCGGGCCGAAGGGGCUGCAGGGGGUGGAGCUGUCGUCGAGGUCGGGCAGGGGAAGGUAGGGAGAGGGGGAAAAGAAACAAGGGUUAGAGGUGGCCGGCCCCUUAUAUAGGUUGGGGGUGAGGGGUGAAUGGGUUGUUCUUCCCACUAGCUUGAUAGUUGUUGUUGUAGGAGAACUCGGCAUACCGGAGAGAAUCCUCCCAUUUCUUACCAAAAGAAAUUAUACAAGAUCAAAGCAUAUCUUUUAGAAUUUGGUUGACUCGUUCAACUUGUCCUUGGGAUUGAGGGUGACAUGCGGUGCUGAAGGACAAAUGAGUUCCCAUAGCCUUCUCGAAACUUUCCCAGAAUUUUGAAGUGAACAAGCUGCCACGGCUAAGUUGAUUACCAAUGGAAUAUGGUGGAGUGAGAAAAAAUCUGGACAUAUAUAGAUCUACCAACUACCUAGCAGUGAUUGUUUCCUUGACGGCCAUAAAAUGUGCAACUUUGAACGGUCGGUCAAUGACGACAAGAAUAGUCGGUCAAUGACGACAAGAAUGGCAUCAUUAUCUUUGUGUGAUCUCGGAAACCAGUCACAAAGUCCAUUUCAACAUGGUCCCAUUUCCAUUCAGGAAUAGAGAUAGGUUGCGGAGUUCUAGGAGGCCUUUGAUGUUCUGCUUUGACCCUACGACAAAUAUCACAUUCUACAACAUAGCGUGCAAUGUCUUAUUUCAUGUUUGACCACCAGAAUCUUUGAUGGAUGUCUUGGUACAUCUUGGUAGUACCCGGAUGAAUAGACAUCGGUGUAUCAUAAGCUUCUUUCAUCACCCUUCCCGUCAUACUUAGGUUGCCCUCUUACUAGGUACGCAUAGACGACCCUUCAAGUACAAGGCGCCAUCAUCAGCAAGAGUGAAGCAAGAGGGUUUACCUCCUGCAAGGUAGCCUUUAAUAUUAUCUACUUCAGUGUCAAAGAUUUGAAUAGUUUUGAUGCAACUCAUGAGAUCAGGUUCAGCAACCAGGUUACUGAGGGAACCCUAAUUAACAACAUGGAGGUUCAUCUUGCGAAACUCUUUAGGAGGGGGAACAAGAUAACCCCGAGGAAUAAUAUGAAGUUUCAACUUACAGGAUUCUUCUUAAAUACGGGCAUGAACCUUAUGAACCUGGAGGUGGUUGCAGUAUGACUUGCACCUCAAGGCAUCAACCAUUACAUUAGCAUUUCCAUGUGUAUAAGAAAUAUCCAAAUUGAAACGUCCUAUGUGAUAACACACAAGUAUAUGGGAUCGCAAUAGUUUUCGAGGGUAGAGUAGUCAACACAAAUUUAUAGAAUCGACACAAGGGGAGCCAAAGAAUAUUUGCACGUAUUAACAGCUGAGUUUUCAAUUCAACCACACUUGGAGAUUUAGUAUUUGCAGCACAGUGAUCAGUAGCAGACUAAUAUGAUAGUUUUGAUAGAAGCGAUAACAGUAGCAACAGUAACGGUAACACUGAUAGCAGUUUUGUAGGAGUUGUAGCAGCAGUAGCAACAAUAGUAACUUAGCAAGAACAAUGUGUGGAAACUCGUAGGCACUGUAUCGGAGAUAUUGCUGGAUAAUAUUCAUCAUGUAUGAGUCAUAACAUAGGGAUACACAGAACUAUCUCUCGUUCAUCGAUAUAAUGUAGGCAUGUAUUCCGUACAUAGUUAUACAGGCUCAUGGAAAAAAAAUUACAUGACAUCUUUUCUCCUACCCUUCCGUGACAGCGAGGUCCAUAAAAAAAUAAGAUAUAUUAAGGCCUCCUUUUAAUAAAGAAUCAGAACAAAGCAAGGUGUCGCCGUCCAUCCAGUCGUGGAACAUGGUGUGGCAGCGGUCAGGUCCGCCGCCACCUGCUCCGGGUGGUUCAAAAUCCCUCGGAUCUGAGGUGGGGAACAGAUGGGAGAUGGCGACGGUCCGUGCUCAAGGCCCGUGCUCAAGGAUGGAGCUCCAAGGAUUGGACGGCUCCUACGAUAGCGCCCAAGGGAGGGGUGCCAGCUCCUCCGCCUACUUCUUCGUCCGUGUCAAACAUCAAGAGCAAUGUUAGUGACCUCUGCCACAACUUUAACCUCACAGGUCAUUUGGCUCCUCGUUGCCCUACUGUUAGAUGCGAAAAAUGUGCCAAGCUUGGUCAUAUGGCCCAACUUUGUCAAACUUUGAGGUCUUGGGAGUGCAUUCCUUUUUUGUGUGGUUUUCAAUCUCCUGGUCAAGGUUUUCUCUACAUCCAUGUUCUAUGUGUGGCUAAGCAAGCAUCUGAAAAACUAAUUUUGUGUUGAUCUCUAUUGUGGAGGGGGAGGCCACAACUGAAGAAAUUGAAACUAAAUUUAAUGGUUUUUUUGCCCAAAAACCUGAAAAGAAGAGAUGGCGUUGUACUUCCCGGCCUAUCAACUCUACUCAAUUUGAGAUUCGAUUUCCUAAUUCUAGAGAAGUUGAGAGAGCUUGUUGUUAUGGUAAACGGCUUCCUUUGAAAGAUGGGUCGGCAAUUUUUUGUAUUACCCCCUGGUCUGCCUCUGUUGGGGCUAAGGGUGAGAUGCAAAAGGCCUGGGUGAGGGUUCGAAAUGUCCGCUUGAAAAAAGAUGCACUCAACAUGUUUCAUAUGUUGGGGGCCUCGUUGGUAUGACCCUAGAGGUGCAUGUUGCAACCUUACAUAAACCUGUAUAUGUUAGAAUUCUAUCGGGGUGUAGGGACAUGGAGAAAGUACCUCCAUGUGCUGAGGGGAUGUUGGGUGAACAGUUUUCUGACUUCUUUUAUGAGGUUGAGAAAAUUGUGGCUCGUGGCCAUGGAAAAAAUCAGUCCUCUACUGCUGUGGACAGGAGUUCUUCUCCAACAUUUCCUAAGAGAUCUAGUUUGUAUCAUAUCCUGGCCAAAUUACUGGACAGGGAGACACAAGUGCAUCUGUGGUUGUGAACUCUUCUUCCCAGACCUAUGACAAGAGCUUGCAACUGGCUAAUUCUAAAACUGAAGAAGGUGAGGAGAGUGAGGAAAAUCAUACUGAACUGCUUACUGAAAUCCUAUCUAAGGAGCAGGCAGCUGGUACCUAUCAUGGUAAUGCUUCUUCUAUGGUAAAUACUAGCUCAGAGGGCAGUCCUGAUGAGGUGGGCACUGGAUUUUCAAUGGACGUAUCUCCUGCUACUAUUGUUAGUGUGGACAAAGGUGCUUGGGCCACUAUUCAAACCCAUGUCCCCCCUUUCCCGAACUUCAUAUAUCAUUCUGAUGUUCCCUGCAGGAGGGUGGGGGGCUUCCCUCCUUUAUCAGUUAUGUGGUAUGGCCUGAGCUGCCUAGGGUUGUGGAGCUUGAGGAAGGUGCUUAUGAAGGAUGUGAGGUUCAGAGUGAAUACACUCUUGAGUCGCCCACUAGGUCACCUAUUAAUGAUCCCGUGGUCUCAGAGCUAUUCAGUACUACUCAGCGCAUUCAGUUCCAUAAGUUGUCUCGUGUUGAGGAACAAGCUGCUAACUUGCUAAAGAAACGCAACUUGGAAGGCAUGGAUCCUCAACUACGCAACAAUCAAUUUUCUGUUCUACAUAAUUCUGCCAUUAUGUUACGUUCUUCCCUCAUGUGAGUUUAAAUUCCUGCUGAUAACUUUGCUACUAUUGAUGUUUUGCGUGAAUUAGAAUUAUCUAGGCAAUUGCUUCGCGAGAAAAAAUAUGAUAGUGACCUCACUAAUCUCAUUGUUAAUGACAGGUUGGGCAAUGAUAUCCCUGUGUCUUUAACUUAGACAAUAGUAAUAGGGAGGAUGGUGAACCUUUUAUCCUGGUUCAAUCUAGACAGAAAAAGAAGAAGACUCCUUGCAAAAAGUAACUAUAUCGUCCCCUAAGGCAGCUAGUAGACCUAAGACUAGAUGCCAGAAGAUAGGGGAAGAGGGUGGGUCUGCUCUGAAUCUUGGCAGUCCCACCAGGGUGCGAGACAGACCUAAGCGAUAUAAAUGACAUGGCUCUUCUGGAAUUGCGGCGGGAGGGUAAGAAAGGCAUGUCUACCUGUCUCACUAAUAUCAUGAAUGCCCAUGAUGUUGACUUUAUUGGUCUUCAAGUGAGCAUUAAAAAAUAGUACAAACCUUCUUUCUUAAGGAAGCUUGACUCGUAUAAAAAAUUCCAUUGGGAUUAGAUUCCUUCCCAAGGUAAAUCUGGAGGUAUACUAUGCGGUAUAAACCUAGAUAGAUGUAAAUUUGAGGUCAUUACUUCUAGCCAUGGUAAAUAUAUUCUCCAAAUUAACCUCUUGGACAACAAUAAAAAAAGAGAAUGGGCCCUGAUGGUGGUGUAUGGAUCCACUCAUGAUGAACACAAACAUGAAUUCCUUGCAGAAAUGUCCUCCUUUUGCCAUAAGACCAAGAUCCCUUAUCUAAUAGGUGGGGACUUCAAUAUCCUGCGCUACAGUGGUGAAAAAAAUAAAAAUAAAACCCUUAUAUCACUUCUCGGAUGUGUUAAUUCUGUCAUUCACUUGUUGGGUUUGAGUGAGAUCUUCAUGUCCAGGGAUGUUUCACUUGGUCCAAGAAGCAAGAGAAAGCAACCUUACAAAAUUUAAACGUGUGUUGAUGUCUGCUGACUCGGAGGGUCUUUAUCCUAUCGUCUGUGUCCAAAAAUUAGUAAAGGAUAUCUUACACCAUAAUCCUGUGUUGCUUGAUGGAGGGCUGCUAAAUCUAGAACACCAGUGAACGUGUGCUUCAGAUUUGAUGUAGCCUCACCGAAUAGUCCGAAAUUCCUUCCUAUUGUCUCUGAUAUAUGGACUAAACCAGUUUACACUGACGACCCCAUCGACAUCCUGAAUAUUAAGUUCAAAAUUUUUAAGGGUUGGGUCCAAUAUCUUUGGACACAAAAAAAUCCUCGUAGAAUUGCAUAACAUGUAUGAGGAGCAGGAACUAAUCUGGCAUCAACAGUCUCAUGAGAGAUGGCUGUUGAAAGGAGACAAUAAUACUAAUUUGUUUCAUAAAAGCUAAUGGGCGUCGUAGGAAAAACUCUAUGAUUUCGCUAGAGUGUGGUACAACGAUUGUGGAAGGGACCAAAAAUUUAGUGACUCAUGCCACGGAUUACUAUAAAGGGCUAUAUGGCCAGCCCCACGAAAUAUAUGUAAAAUUGAUAAAGAGUUGUGGUCCGAGGAUGAAACCCUUUCUCCUGGUGACAUUGAAAAUCUAACUCGCCCCCUUUCACCAUGGAUGAGAUAAAAAAAAGGGCCUUUUGACAUGAGGUCUAAUCGGGCCCCUGGCCCUGAUAACAUUCCUGCUGAAUUUUAUCAGCAUUGCCGGGAGGUGGUGAGUGCAGACAUAUUCCGGCUAUAUGAGUGGUUUCUUGAAGGCAAGUUAGAUGUGCAGAGGCUGAAUUAUGGUAUAAUCACUUUACUUCCUAAAUCUGCUGAUGCGAAAAAAUCCAACAAUAUAGACCUAUCUGUUUGCUGUUUGUCGAGGUGUCCUUACAAAUUGAUCACGAAGAUCAUGGAUAACGGGAUUAGUAAGUAUACCCCCAAGUUGUUUAGUAUUUCGGAAAAUGCAUUCAUAAAAAGGCGGCAUAUAGUUGAUGGAAUCUUAUCUUUACAUGAGGUCAUGCAUCGUACUCAUGUGAAGAAGCAAGUGGGAGUUAUCCUUAAAAUAGACUUUGAGAAAGCCUAUGCCAAUGUUAAUUGGGAGUUUUUGCUGGAUUGGCAUGCCAAACAUCAGUUGAAUGCCAAAUGGUGUGGAUGGGUGUCACAAAUCCUGCGUGAUGGCACUGUUAGUGUUAAGAUCAAUGAUGAGAUAGGACCUUAUAUUCAUAGUGCCAAAGGGGUGCUCAAAGGUGACUCCUUUUCCUCAUUCUUGUUCAAUCUUGCUACUGAAUUCCUAAAAUGGUGCUUGCUGCCAGAAAAAUGGUCUCAUCCAAGGGCUGGCCGCAGAUUUGAUAGAUGGAGGUGUGGGUAUUCUGCGAUAUGCAGAUGACACCGUGAUAUGCUUCGCGCAUGAUGUUGACAAGGUUGUCAAUGUCAAACUUCUGAUAUAUCUAUUUGAAUUUAUGUCAGGUUUGAAAAUUAAUUUUGAAAAAAGUGAAGUGUUUACUAUUGGCGGAGAUAAUAAUAUUGAUUAGACGUCACCGUUUGCUCAAUGUCAAGGAACUCCGCCAUCUGAACCCCCUGAUCGCUGAAAGCACGGUGGCGCGCCAUAGUGCCUCGUUCUCUCUUGUAAGCUUCUUUGUUGCGUAUUGCACAAAUGGAGAGGAGGGGAAGGAAGUGAAAGAGCUUGCCAUGGAUGAUUUCGAGGCAGGCUCUGAUUACCAUGAAAGAAACAGUGGAAGAAUAAGCCUAAUAGCAGGGACGCGUGCGUGUUUAUAUACAUCACCAAUGUACAAGAUAGAUGGCAAGUUGUUACAAGUCUUGACCGCUACUCCAGCUAAUUUUUUUUUAAUAUUGCAUUUUUUAUUAUUUUUGAAAAAUAAUGCACCAAAUCAAAAAUUUAGAGAAAUAUACCUGCCUCGGCCACGCUGUGGCCGACUUGGAGCUGUCGGCCUCGCCCUAGCCGACAGGGUGCUCUCGGCUUCCACGUAGCCGAUUAGUGGCCACUCGGCUUUGGGGAAGCCGAUAGGCCACUCGGCCUGGCCGUGGCCGAGUAGUGGCAGCGCCAGCCCCUCCCCCCCCCCUCUCCCUCGUUUCUCUAUUUCUUCUCCCUCCUUCUCUAUUUCUUCUCCUUAUUUCUCCCCUUAUUUAUUUUUGCUGUUUUGGAAGGAAGUGUCAUCUUUUUUCCUCUUUGGAAUAAUCAUUCUAUUAGUUCUAAGAAGAAUUCAAACAAUGAAAAAAAUGGUACUAAAAUGAUGUACUCCUUUUCUUGGAUAAGUAGCAAUAGACACAUGGAACUAAAAUUUUAUGUUAUUUUAUGUUUCUUGGAUAAAUAGCAAUAGACACAUGGAUAAAUAGCAAUAUCACUCGCGAUGAUAUUUUAUGUUGUGUAAGGAGGAGGGCAUCCAAACUAUCCGUCUCACUCGCCUAGUCUGUUCACUAGCAUACCAUCUCUGCGCAAGACAUAAGUUAGUUUCAACAAUAGUGUAAACUAAGAAGGUGGAUAACAUUAUACCAGGGGACAUACCUUGCGAUGCGUCCAACAAAGACCGAAAGUUGGCAAGUCGAUGUCAUCACCAUCAAGCAUGUUGCCCACAUGAUAACUGUGGUCCACAUCUAUGUUUGGUCGUCCAAUAUAGAACCUCUCCCAGGACCACAGUUGUAAAAACAGCGGGCAACCAAGAAUGGCCGACUUGGCCGUGGAAAGCUGACAACCGUUGCACAUACCUCGGUAGGUAGCAGCUUAUACCACAGAUCCCCAACUCCUCGGUGUGAUCUGUUCAGCUGACUCAGCAGUCGCGAUUUCCAGUGCAAUGGGGAUGUAACGCACACUCAAAGUAGUGACAUGGUUCUCUGUGAACAUCACCUUCCCGAGAAGCCACAAUAGGUACGCCUCCAGGCUACGAGUAAUCUGUAUAGCACUCAAAGGGACUUGUGAAUAACCUGGAAAUCUCUCGAUCUGCAAUCAUGUAAGGACAAAGGGACUUGUGAAUAACCUGGAAAUAUUGCAACUUGAAACAUUUACCUUUGAUAGAUAUGCGAGGUAGGAACUAACCCUGAAAUGUUGUAACCAGUCAUACUUAGGUUCGUGUGCCUCUGACGCCAGUAUUGGAGCCCCAUCAUAUAUAUUGAAGAAACAUGCUGCCAAAGUUUGUUGCCAAUCUGGCGGGUCCUCCAACGGUCCUAUUGCAUUUCCCGCCAACGGAAGUCCGAGCAGCAUUGAGACAUCUUCCAGAGUAGGAGCCAUCUCACCCCAUCUGAAGUGGAAAGUGUGGGUCUCAGGCCUCCAUCGGUCCACUAAGCAAGUGAGCAAAGAAGAGUCAAUGCUGAGGUGCCGCGAAGUCUCAGUGGCCUCAACUACACUGCUCCCUACACUGCUCUCACCAUAUUCAUCCCCAGCAUGGGACGCAUCAAUUGACUGUGAAUCAUGCAUCCCUACACUGCUCUCACCAUAUUCAGAGCUACGUUCCACUUCAGGUUCAGUAACCGGCUUUAGCACGGGGAGAAGUAAGGCCACAGGAUGACAUCCCCUACGCUCGCAAGAUUGUAACAAGCGCACCCACUGGUCGUCCCGCUCUAUAUGCUUCAAAUACCAGAAAAUAUCACCAGUGGACCGGGUCCAUAAUGCAUGAACACCGAUGGUGUGUGUUUCAGUAUUGAACCCUAAACAUCGCGCAAGCCAUUCUGUCAACUGAGUAACACACCAUGUUUUAGGGAAGGACACCUGCACCUCUGUGUACUGAAAUUCACUAAGAUCAGCUCUCAUCUCAUUUGUUUGAACGGUACCACGACCAUAGUGCAAACAUAACGUCACUAAAUCAGACAUCUCUGCUGACCUAACAUAUUAUUCAACAAGGAAAAAAAUUAGAAGAACGACAAACGGAAAUAUAUUUUCCAAAUCUAUCGGAGAACCUAAACAUAUUUACACUACUUCAUUUACUAAACUUAAUUUAUACUAAUCUACCGGAGCACCUAAAACUAGUUAAACAACUAAANNNNNNNNNNNNNNCAACGAGUUAAACAACUAAAUUUAUACUAAUCUACUGGAGCACCUAAAACUAUUUAAACAACAAAAAUAUUUUACCCUUGAAGCGUGCGCAGAAACGAUGAACGACGAACGACUCUUGACGAACACCGAGAUUAAUCCCACACCACUACCUCCAACUCCACCAAAACAACCAACUACACCCACACCACCACCACCACCACCACCACCACCACCACUACAACCUCCACCUCAACCUCCACCACCACCAC
rnacentral:lncRNA from 1 species